UCACUGAGAGCUGGAACCAAUCAGUCUUCCCCUGGUGUCUCUGGGAGCACCAGGGCUGCUCCCUGCUUCUUCUGUUAGCUCUCUAGGAAGGAAAGGUGCUAAGACUGGCAAAGCUGCCGGACUUCAAGUUUCUUUUCAGCCUGACUUCCACCACCAGGUAGGGUGACCCACCACCCCAAUUCCUUGGGACUAAGGAGGUGCCCUGAUGCACGGCCUUCAGUUUGAAAACUCAGUCACAUUGCACAGGGCUUUACCAGAAAGACGGAAUCCCAUAUCCUUAGUUUGGCUCCAAGUGUUCGUUACUGUUUUCUCCAGGCCAUUUGUUUCUCCUAAUCUAACUCAUACCCAGGCCUUAUUGUUCUCUUCUGCACUGUUGACUUUAUUGUAUUUCUCAGUGCUUAAGCUCAGCCCUGCUUCUCUGGCUUCCCUCCGUGACAGUGCCGGAUUCUUCCUCUUACGGUGUCAUCCUACAACUUCCUACAUGAUAUGAUCCAUCUUGUCCCCUGGGAGCUUGGGGUUUCUCAUCCCACACCCCAUGAAGCCCUCCUACCACGUUUACCUUGGAGCAGCAGAGUAGGGGGACAUUUCUGUGAUGAGCUUUAUCCUUAAAUAUGGUUAUAAUGUAACACUUCUGACUACACAGCUCAGAAUAAGACGGUCAAAGGACUCAGUGGUUGUCUGGUGACAUAGAAGAGGAGUCUAUAAGCUACAAUGUCUAUAAGCUCUUUUGUCACAUAGAAGAGGAGUCUAUAAGCUUUUUCUGAAAAGGGCCAGAGAGUCAAUAUUUUGGGCUUUGUGUACCACACAGUGUCUGUCAUAGCUAAUCAGCCCUGUACUGUAGAAUAAAAGGCAGCUACAGACAACAUGGCAAUAAACAGGUAUGAGUGUGUGCUAAUAAAAGCUUAUCUAUAAUUAUAGGCAGUGCAUCUAAUUCAGCCCAUGGACCAUAGUUUGUAAAUUCCUGAUAUAGAACAUCCUGCCAGAUAAUCUUGGUUUUUUUUUUCAUUAAGCUUGCAAAAGUUUUCUUUGACUUCACCACUUAGAUAUGCCAUAGCUCUACUUGCAAUUUACACGCCUUCUUCAUAAUGCUACAUCAUUAGCUCUUUUAAUCAAUUAUCCUGUCAUUCAGCUGAUCUUAUAGAAAUCUUUGCCCAAUAAAAACAAAUUCUUACAUUAAGACAUUGACAUGGAAGGAAGGAUCACAUGGCAUUUAAUUUUAGGGGCAUAUUUAACACAAGUUUGCAACAUGAAAUAUAUCCACGGAGUUGGGCGAGAUGUUAGGUUAAUUGACAUGAUAACAGGUUUUUUUGAUGUUUUGUUAACAGGACUGCUAGAUGACUGGAGGAAACCUCGUCUGAUGGGCAAUAGUGUCCUCACUCUUUGUGAUGAGUUUUAGCUCUUAGCUCUGUCUGCUUUGUUUUUCAAUAGAGUGUCAAUCUGUGUUCAGGGUUCCAGAGCUCUGAGUACUUUGUGUAGAGUCUUGCUUUUCUCAUUUAAAAAUUACCGAGUCAAUCAGCAUCUUCAUAACACAUUUAAAAAUGUCUUGUGCUGUCCUUAGAAUGUACUUUCAUAGGAAGAAGGGGUAGAAAGAGGAGGAAAACAUCUCUAACAUUUUAAACUGAUUUUCGGGAAUACAUUCACAAUGUGCAUGUACCUGGAAACUGCUUCUAUCAGAUAAAAAAUCUGGGAAGAGAGAAGGAGAACAGGAUUGGGAAGACUAUUUCAGCAAAUUGUCCUUAUGUACAUUUAUCUGGUCUUAGAGGUGAGAUGAGAUUGAAACAGGGACAGUAACAAACAGGGAACUAAAAUAUUAUUGACCUGCUCCUCCAAGCCAUUGCUAUUGGUGGAGUUACUGCAGAAUGACAGAGUUCUCUUUAGCACGAGGCGGCUCCUGUGGGCUCAUUGCUGAGCAGAUACUGCUGAGCCCAGAAAACUGAGAGCCUUCACAAGUCAACUCCACACCCCCUCGAAUUUGUGCUCGGUAGGGAGUCCUCGGCAGGAAAUCCUCCAUCUGUUUUCCUUUACUACAAGGAACUUCAGAGGAUGAGUUCAUUUCGCUUCAAACAUCCUCAUGUUGCUGUAAAACAGUACUGGGCUGAAUGAUGAAAAAUGUCACCAGGAAAGCAGGAGGACACCUUCGAAUGGAGACAGAUAGUUACACCUCUGAAUUAGAUUCUAGUUUUUAGACAGGGUUUAUUUUUUUUCUUUGUUGCUUACAUUUCAAUUUUGCUUUCUUUCCUUUCAUUUUUUUUUAAGGACACUCUGUUGUUUUUUUACAACUUCCUUAUAGAACUUGGAUAUUUGGAGAAAUAAUACAAAAGGAAGAUUUCACAAUAUUUGUCCCGUGGAUUAAUGGAGUGAAGCUUGAGGUCUAAAGGAUUAUAGCUAGAUCAGUCUCUCUUUUUAAACAAAAACUCUGAAUUUCAGGAUUACUUUAAAAAUAUCACUGCAAAGUAAGUACUGUGAUUAUUCUCUUUCUUUGCUUUUAAUUCCCUAAUAAGCAUCUUUUUGCAUAUGGUAAUCUCAUUGGAGUUAUUGGUUGGACUAUAAGUAACAGGAUUUGCCAACCCAUAAAUUAAUUAUAAGAUGAGAUAUUGAGUUUUUGCUCUUAAUGCUGUUUAGCAGGUAGCAGGUAAUAUUUAUAGUCAUGUUUAUGUUUGUGUGUCAAGAAUUAUUUAAUUUCAUUAACAUUUUGAGUGAAUAUCCUUUGCCUCAUUUCCUCUAGUAAUAUAAACUAUCUUUUAAAUUGGAAAAUAAGCAAGGGAAAAAAAUCUCUUUGGAAAACAACACCGUUGGCCCUCGCAAGCAGAUCAUACUAUUGAUUUUUCUGGAAUGUAUAGGUAAAUUGGCUGGAGAAUCUAUAAAUCUAGAGAGUAAAAUUAGCUUAAAAUGUUACUCUUGUGAACUCCUUUUGAAAAUGCCAUUAAAUCAUAUUGCAGACUUGGGGUCAGGGGAAAUGCUCUUUGGCAAAGGGCACAGAAACAUUAAAAUAUUUCAACUGCUGUUACCUUUCUGCAGUGACACUAUUAGUUUGAGCUGCAACUGUGCAUGUUUUGGAGCCUCCUCAGGAAUCUAGAGCUGUGACGCUGAUCCAUCUGGAUGCAGUUAAACAGUGCACAUUGAUCAGGGAGGAGUCUAGAAGUGGUCAAACUGUGCUUUUCUCCCCCACCCCCAGGCUCCUAUCUUCUUCCACCCAUCCCUCAUCCCUUCCAACCUUAUGUGGUAGCUGUAAAUUGUGAAAGUGCUGUUGGAAAGAUGGCAUUUCCCUUCCCAGCAGUCAGCCAGGGGAAGAGACAGCUGUGUGGAUGUGCUUUCUGGUUGCUUUCUGGGCAGCUCAGAACACAGGGAUCAUCUGUCUGUGCUUCCUCUACAUCCCCUGUCGCACUCUUUACCACCAAACCCUCAUCUCUACCACAGACAGCUGGCCUGAAAGGACAUAUUCCAGAGAAAGAUAAUGGGUGAAGCCCACUUCCAUAGAAGUGUGGCAUCCCUCCCUCCAUCUUUCUGUAGUCUUUAAAUUUGUCAACCUCGUUCUCUGAGAAACAUGAUUCUUAUUCAUCCUCUCUUGCCAAAGCCAAGUGCUCCCAGAACCAGCCUUGACUCUCUCUAGCCCUUUACUUAAAGAUCAUUAUCUGCCAGGCCAUCUGUUAUUUUCACUUAGGAGAGGGUAUUAUUUCAGAUCUGUGGGUGUCCUUUAAAUUUCCCCUCACAUGUUAUAGAGUAGCUAGAUGUAGUCCAAGGGCAAAGGCCUAUGGCGAACAACAGGAAUCUGUGCCCCACUUUUGCAAGCAUUAGUGGCAAUGAUGUAAUCUUGAAUGGCCAUAACCCUCCAACACACACUAGAGGAGGGGGGACGGUGAUUUGGGAACUGUGAAAAAUGAAACAAAAUGAGAGUAUGGACUUAACCAUCCUGGAUGGUUGUUGCUUUUAGAGAAAUUAUCUGCUUCUGAUUUAAAUCCACAAGGAUUCAUGCUUCUUUCUAAGGUGCAUACUGUUGCCCCAGCAGCCCCCACUUAUGGAUGCUGGCUACCCACCUAAAAGCAGUCUUGAUGCUCCAACUUUACAAAGGAGAGCCAUGAGGAGAGGAAGUUUGAGGCUGGUGUGUGGCUCAGGAGUAGAGUGCUUGCUUAGUGUGCCAAAGAAUGGAAGAUUUCUUACCUGUUAUGCCCCUCUUUCACAAGCUAAGAAAGUGCUCAGUAGAAUUUACCUUCUGUAAGUGGCCUGUUGUGUGUUUGCUAGAUGACAGUGAGUCUUGUGUCAUCUCAUUACCCCCAAUAGAAGUUAUAUUGCUGAGUUUCCAAAGGCAUCAGGCCCUCUCUGAACCAUUGGGUAGCUUUCCUUUGUAAGGAGAAUGGUUUGCACUGAGUAACUCUUCUAUAAACCUGUGUUCUGGACAAACGUGAAGGGCCAUAUUGUAUGUAUCAGACAAUGAUGAUGUCUAACAGGAUCGACCGAGACCAUUUACCAGAAGUGAUGAUAAAUAUUUUAUGGCACUUAUCACAUUACAUCUUUCUUCCCCUACCUGUAAUGCAGGUAAGGAAGCAGCUUAAUUCAAAUAUGUCAAUAGAGGAGGAACAAAAAAGAUCUAAGAAUGUUCCUAUCAACUGCCUCCCUGUAUUCUUCAGUGUUUAUUGUCACUAUUGUUUCUUUCCUAACUGCUCAGGCUAUAGAUUGCCAGGCUCUUUCCAUAUUAUUUUAACCUGUGGAUAGCAUUUCUGGCAGAAAAUUGGCUCUAGGAGUGGGUGGCAGGCUGGGAUGAGGUGGAGUGGGAGGAGCAAUUGAAACCUCAGCAAUGAGUUUUUGUUGCUUGUACUGGAAAUGGAUUUCAGUUCUCUCUGCUCUGCAUUAACUUCCAUGUCAAGAGUGACUUCACCCCACACCAUGUGUUUCUGUUCUUGGGUUUUUGUAGAGUUAUAGGGAUAAUUAAUUCUUAUUGGCUAAAAACAUAAUUCUUGGAAGAAAACAUCACAUUAGUGAACAAAUGUGUGUUAGUUGUUUAUGUUGGGCCAGGUUUUCAUUAUCCACUCAGAGAAUGGAAUAAAGUCUUUCAAAUUACCAAGAAGGGACCAGGGAUCAGAAUUUUUGCUGCCUUAAAACAUAAAUUUUAAGUAAAAUUUACUAUAACAUCUGCUCUUAUUUAAAAAAACUGUGUUAAUAAGUGAUAAAUAGUGGUAACUGGCCUAUAAACAAGAAAGACAAGACAUAUCAAGAUGAGACAUGAUAUUAUCAAUGAACAGGUGAGCAAAAAUUUAUAAAUUUGAAGAUGGAAGUCGUUGGUAUUUCAUAACGGUUUUCUUCAUUUUAAUAUUUUUCUGGGUUACAGAAACAUUUUCAGCUAAUUUGCCACAUUGGUUAUAUCAUUGAUUCAAAGUUUACUUAUUGAAUGUCCCUUAGGCCAUUAUUUUUGAAAUGGUCCAUGAUUAUAUUUGAAAAUAAAUGCAUUGCUACAGGGUAAGUCUGUAUUUUGAAGACAGUAUCCACGGAGAGAGAAAAAUUGAAUUCAGAAAUAUUAUAUCCUUACAACUUUAGGUCCAUAGAAAUUUGAAACUAGAGUGGAUUUUGGAUCAUCUCAUCCAACCCCUUUAUGUAUGGGGAAACUGGAGGCAGUUAGGUAAAACAGUUUACACAAUAGCACUAAUUAGCUGCAGAACUAGAACAAGAAUUCUAGCCUCUGACCUCCAAAUCCAGUGACAUUUUUAUUUAUUUAUUUUUACUUUUUUACUUCUUAUGUUUUAAAAGUAUUAUUGCUAGCCAGGCACAUUGGCACGUACCUGUAAUCCCAGCAAUUCGGGAGGCUAAAGUAGGAGGAUCACGAGUCCAAACCCAGCCUUAGCAACUUAAUGAGGUCCUAAGCAACUCAAUGAGACCCUGUCUCUAAUAAGAUAUAACAAAAAGGCGGGGGGGCUGGGGAUGUGGCUCGGUGGUUAAGUGCCCCUGGAUUCAAUCCCAGGUACAAAAAAAAAAGUAUUAUUGCUUCUUACAGUGACUGAAAAAUAAUGUGGAUAUGGCCCCACAGUCAUUCCAUUCAAUUCCUUUUUGGCCUUUUAAAUAUUUGAAUAUAAACUAUCAGACACACACACACACACACAAACAAUCAUUUAAUAGUUAUCUGCAAACCAACCACCAAGAUUAAAUAUGUUAUUUUUCCAUCUUCAGUUUAGAUAACUUGUAAAAUAAAAUAAAAUGCAUCAUAAACACAACUAAAACACUACCCUUAUCUCUUCUCCCUCUUUUCCAAAAUAAUUACUAUCCUGAAACUGCUGCAUAUCACUCCCUUGUAUACUUUUGGUAUUUUUGUAUUUUCACCAUAUGCAUGUGUAUGUGUGGUAGAUACAGAUUUGGUUACAUCUGUGUGUAGUUAUAUCUAUUUGUGAUUACCUUCAUGUUUUGUGUUUAGAUUUUAAAAUAUAUAAAGCAUCUCCAUAUUCCUUAGUAACAUUUUUUAAAUUCAGCCUUGUUUGGGAAAUAUCCAUGUUGCUACAUAGGUAAGUAUCUAUUGUAUUUAUUGCAACUUCAGAAUAAUAUCAUGUUGCAUAAAUAACUCAAGGUUGAUUUAUCGAUUUUCCAACUGAGAGAAAUUUGGAUUAUCCUUGCAGUUUUGCUAUAGAUGCUGCAACCAUGCCGAAGGGAUCUCUAUACAUAACUUUUUACAUGUGUGUCAAAAUUUCUUGAGUUGCCUAGAAGUUGAAUUAUCAGGUGGUAGGGAAUGCAUGUCUUGCCUUUACUACACGAUGCUAAAUCACCCUACAAAUAGCAUUGGCUUAUUCAACAAUGAAUAGCACUGAGCAGUUGUUCCAAAGUAGGGGCUGAUGAGAAUCACUUUGGAAGCUUUUAAAAAUUACCAAUGCCUAAGUCCCACCCCAGACCAAUUAAAUCAGAAUCUUCGGGGAUGGGACCUGAUACUUGUUUUAAAGCUUCCCCCUGGUGAUUCAAAUGCACAAUCAGUAUAGCAUCUGUUUCUCCAUAUCUUUUCCAAUACUUGCUGUGUUCUGACAUUAUUAUUAUUUUUCUGCCAGUCCUCUCAGAUGGUUUCUUUAUGCAGUUAAUAAUUUAGGAUUACGAAUUCAUCUUCAAUGGGAAAAAGAUCGUAAAAAUAUGUAGCCAGAGUAGAUAGAGCCAGCCCUAAAGACACAUUUUGUACUUGUUUUGAUUUGUGUCCUAGGACAGUUCUUCAGUUAUUUUCUUGAUUUGGGUUUCCUGAACCAUACACAUAUUCUGGUUAUGAAUUCUGAGUAGACAAUCUCUUUUCCCUUCACUUGGCAUCUAGAUAGAGAUGGAUGGGCAUCAUUGUUGUGUCCAUCUUCUGGCACCAACCUGUCUCCUGCUUCUACUUAGGCAUUUGAUUCUAAGCUUCUGUGUUACUGAGACCCAUAAGUUUGUUGAAUGUAGAUCAGUGUCUGUUUAUUUCCUACCCAUACUGUCUUUUAGAUCUCUGCGUCUCAGAUUUGGAGGGGCGUCUCUCCCCCACCCCCAUCUCCUCUCUCUCUCUCUCUCUCUCUCUCUCUCUCUCUCUCUCUCAUAUUCUUGUUCUUGCUCUUUUUUUGCAAGCUUGGAAUACAUUUGAAAAAAAACAGCAUCUUUUUAUCUGUUAUUUCUAAGUGUUCAUAGUGGGAAAAUAUUCAGAUUUUCCUGAGAGAAAAAAUGCAGAAGAGAAGUUCUACUUUGACCUUUUUGAUAUUAAAGAAAUAAAAGAUCUAAGAAUUUCACAAAUCAUAUUCUCUGUGCCAAGUUUUCUUACCAGCUUCUAUAGAAAUUUAGGCUGUCCAAGAAUCAGCUUGAAAUUUAUUAAACUAAUAAAAACCUGAAAUAUUACUAUAUAACCUCUAAGGAGGUACAUGCCUUUGAACUUCUCCAAUAAACUCACUCACAGCUUGGUGGGUUGAGAAUGAUGGGGUACAGCAUGGGGAAAGGCUAUAUGCCCUACUUUGAGAAAAUUUAGGGAAUGUACUAUAGAGGAACAAGUAAUAUCUUCUGAAACACUAUAAAUAUCAUUUGCUUUUCCUUAUUGAGAGACUAGGACAUAUUUUUUAAAGGUUAUAAGGAAAAGCCUGAAGCUCUUUCUAGCCCUAGAAUUUUGUGAUUUUUUAAAAACUGUUUCAGUUGUAGAUGGACACAGUACUUUUAUUUUACUUAUUUAUUUGUAUGUGGUGCUGAAGAUCAAACCCAGUGCCUCAUGUGCUAGGCAAACACUCUACGAUUGAGCCACAACCCUAACCCAAAAUUUUGUGAUUUUUUUUUCUCCUACCUUGGGACAUUUUCCUGACAAAUCUUCUUAUAGCCUGCAUACAGCUUUAUAACCAGAUGCUCAAUAUCAGAGUUGCCCAAGCUUCUUAAAACACAUUCCAUUUCUACUUGACAUAACACCCCAGUAAGUCCAUAGAAAUGAAUGGACUAUAUUCAGUUUUUUCUAUUGUUAAUAUUGUUCUUAUCUGAUUCUCUACACAUAAUUUUUCUGUCAAAAUUAUGAAAUCACCAAUUAUUUGUUAGUGAACUAAUAAAAAUAUCUUUAUGUUAUUACCAAAUAAAACAAUUGGUACAUUUAACAAAACACUAAUUGUUGAACACAAUACAUACUAUCGAAAAAAUGUUAUUACUUAUAUUGAACAUGCUAUAAUUUUGAGAUAUUUUGCCCUAAAAUUCUGUUUGGAAACAAGAAGUUAGGGGGAAGAAGUCAGUAAUAAGUCACAAUUAAAAUUAAAAACAAAAAAUUCAUUAAAAUAAAGCACAUAUUCUUUCAGCACUUGAUACCCAAAAUUAUUUCUAAAGAUUUGGCAUAUUAUUUUAGAUUAAAUAUCUCAAACAGAUCAUUACAAAAAUAAAUCUAUCUCUUUGCUGAAUUUCAUUCUGUGUUUGGAUUGAGGUGGAGUCAGUUGUUAGCUGCAUGAUAAGAGGGCAGACGCUGAGUCUUUUUAUUUUCUUAAUUAAGAAUUACCAUUUCAAGCCCUUGUCAGUAGUUUACAAUGGCAAUAAUCCCUCCCAAAACAGUUGUUACUCUAGAUCCUAAGUGGUUUGCCAGAACAUUAACCUCAACUUGACCCUUCAUGUUUUCGAGGAGGGGUAUACAAGGGUCAAUAAUCAUUUCUAGAAAAUUAUCAGGCCUGGGCUGCACCCUGCAUUAUAUAAUUUGCUUUAAAAAAUAAUAUAAUGUGUUUGUCAUUUUAAAUAACUGGGAUCAGCAAGGCUAAUGAAAAUAUUUAAAUCCUUAUCCGUUGGAAUGAAAAGAGUUGGCUCCCAAAAGUGCUGACUUUAAAAUUUUUGUUCUGCUUUUGUUGAUCCCUUCUGCUGAUGCUCACGACCUACUGAUGUGUGGCUUGGCAUGUCAUGGAGACCCAUUCAUCCAUGUUAUACAGGAAAAGGACUUCCGCGCCUCUACAUGGACUGCAGCACAUUCCUUUAGUUUUCUAACAAAGCUUUUAAUGGGUGACUGUGACUAAUGAACAUGGUGUCCCAGGAGAAAGGGAGCAUGGGCUUCCACUGCCCCUUCAGACAAGCUCCCAGGCCAGGGUUCAUCAUGCUUAAACCAAGGAGAAGGCAAGACCAAAGGCUUGAGAUGAACAAUAACUAAUAGUUUCAUUUUCCACCUUUAUAAACUGGCAUUAAUAAUUCUUACCUAAGCAAUCAGAGCCAAGGCCCCCUGCUCUGGCCCUGGCCACUAAAGGCCAUACAUCUCUCUUCUUGAGAAUCCAAGUUAACUCUACCUUAACCAAAGUACAACCUGAGUUUAUUUGCCUAAGCAGAGAAAACUUCUCCUCUUUGUGUAGGGUAGCAAUCCUCUUCUGCCUGAGAUCACGUGGGAUGAGGCAAGUGCUGGUAUACGCCACCCUGAGCUGGUAAGAAAGGGGCUAGACACCUACUAUGUGCAGAAAAUGCUGAUGCAGAGAGUUCCUCUCUGAGAUUUUUCUCAUUUUUGGUUUUGAAUUUAUACUUUCAAUUAUAUACCUUGCUGCAGUGCAACAGAGAAAUAAAUGGGGAUAAUAAAGGAGAUGCAGGACAAAGCACUCCUAGUUGUUGUCUAUUAUUUAUUAUAUCAAGAACACUAGGUGAAUAAGGUCAUUAAAAUCAGUAUGUUCCUAGGGCCGAGGGAAGGGGUGUUCUCAUUCCCUAGGAUCUCAGCAUUAGUGUUUGAAAGGACACCGACAGGUCUCAUUUGGUCAUUGGUAUAUUAUAGACUUCAUAUUUCUAAGUGAUAUGAGUAUGGAUACAAUAAAAAGAAUUUAAAUGUCUUUAAAGUAUGCAAUUAAUUUUAAAUUCUGAAAUUGUUAUAGCCCAUCACCUGGAGGACUCUUCCUCACUCCCAUUGCUGAUCUUGCUUUUAAACAGCCUCUGUCGAACAUAUGACUCUAUUACCUCUUGUUCUACGUAUCUGUAUCCUAUCAUUUCUACUUAUCUGUCUCACUUUACAAUUCCCUGUUUCCAGUCCUGGAAACUGGAUUUGAACUUCCUUUCGUCCUAUCCAGUGUGUAUUGGCCAUCCAGUUCUCAGUGUCAUAGACCUCUUUUCCUUCUGUUGUGACAUUCCAUUGGCUCAUUAUUCUCUGAUGAAGAUGCAUGACCUCAGGUUUCACGUGUCUCUCAUGAUCAAGAUCCAGGUUCAUGAUCACAGACCUCCUAUCUCUGCCUAUACACCCUGUCCCAUGUUACCUUUGACCCCCACUGCCUCCUUCCUCCCCUUUAAUAAGACUGUAAUCCUUAGCAUCUGCACACUAUUUGGACAACUUGUUGAUAAUUCUCUCCUGCUGUCUCUUACAGACAUUUUUUUUAAAGUUUCUAUUCACAUCCCUUCCUCUUUCAGUGUAUAAGUUACAACUCAACCUUUCAAAGGAAACUUUCCAGAUUGGAAAUAUUGGGUUAUUUGAAGUUUUACUAGCUUAUAAGUUAAGAAGCUCUCAUUUUCUACAUAAAAACAUGUAUAAUUUGCAGGUUUUGGGGAAGGAAAGUUCUACACCAACUUAUCAGCUAUUUUAAGGCAGGAAUCUGGUUUUGUGUCCUGUAGCAUCUUGUGUGAAUCCCUGAAUGCUUAACUUGUGUAAUGUUGACAGUUAAUGAUGGUGGCAAUAUCCAACUCCCUGUGUAAAAUAAACUUCUAGAAAAAUGGGCCUAGAACACAGAGUUGGUUGAGUACCAUAGAGUUCCCAUAUAUACUUGAGGAACAGAAAAUUAUAAAGAAAUAAUUAUCCAAGGAGGUACCUCAAACAGAUAAGCCAUCCAGCUACUCAUAAAAAUGAGAACAAUACCAAUUGGAAUUACCUUUGAGUGUACCUAGAGAUGGGCAUAUAGAGAGUUCUCAAUAAUAUUAAAUUGACUGUGACUAUUAUGUUUUCAAUUCCAUAUGAUCAACCACAAUCAUAACUUAUGCAGCAAGUUCUGCAUCAAAUCUACAAUUAUUUUAUGAUUACCUCAAGAUUCCAAAGGGCAUUAUAAUUUAAUGCAAUAAGUGGACUCCUUAAACUGAGUCCUUUAGUCUAUGAGUAAAAGCUUAUCUCUUUCCUUGAUAUGUCAUAACAAAUUAAAGAUUGUCAAAACUCAUAAGACAAUGAUAACACUUCCUCCUCGUGGAAGAAUAGGAUAUAUGUCUUAAGUUACUCCAUGAUUGAUUUAGUUAAAAUAUAAAGAAUUAUUAUAACUCAGUGUUAUCAAGUAUUUGAAACAGUAGUGGAAAACAUGAAAUUGCCUUCCUUAUAUCUUACUGAAAAAUAGGAUUACCAUGCUGAUAUCCAAGGCAGAUUUGAAAACUAUUUUAAGCUGUACAGACAUAGCAUUUUGCACUCAUCAAUAAUAGUUCCUCUGUUCUUUGAUUGCUUGGUGUUUCUUCUGAGAUAUUUAUAACUCUGGAAUACUGAAACAAAUAUGUUCAAAUUCAACCUGGGAGUUUCAACUAGCAUCUCUUUCACCAAAGACAUUUACCAACCCUGUGUUAUUUAAAGGCCAAAUGGAACUGUUAUGGCAAAAAUCUGGAAAGAAUGUCAGAAGGAACACAGUACAGAGAACACAUUUUCACAGAAAUAAUGACUCCCAGUCUUAUAGUUUAAUUUGCAUGGUUGAAUGAACUUGUCUUUCUCCUACUCCAAAAAUACAGCCUAAUACUCAUAAACUGCAGUCCUUCAGAAAAGCAGCUCAGUCCCUAACUUAGCAUCCCAUAAUUAUGCCCAUUCUGUACCUUCAUACCCAAUAAUUUUUUAAUUAAAAAUAAAUUUUAGGUCUCUAGGCCUGAGGAAAUGAUGGGAAAAGGAAAGAAUUUCUCUACAUUUCUUUCACCUAAAAAUGAAAUCACUUAAGCUAAAAGGAGCAAUGAGACUCAUAUUUUGGGUAAGGGUAUGUGAACUGUCACAAGAAAGAAUAGAUCAUGUUAUGUGAAACCUUAUGAAAUAUAUUUUUGGCAUUUUUCUCAAGGGGGUUAAGAAAAAAAAGUUUCUAGGAGAAUUUCCUUAGUUUGCUUUUAGAAGUAUAUUAUUAGAAUCUGGCCCUCUGUGUUGUCAGUCAUAGCUGUAAUAACAAUCUCCAUAUCUCAGUGGCUUUUCACUUGAAAGGUGUGGUUCUUACUCACAACACAACCCAGUGGUAUUAGGAUGAGGACAGCAUGAGGCUCUGUACUAAGUAUGCCCUCAUUUGGAGACUUACAAUAUAUGGCUUUGCUAUUUUUUUUAUUAUUAUUAGUUGCUCAAGACAAUACAAUGAUCUUGACAUAUCAUACAUUUGAUUCAAAUAGGGUAUGAGCUUUGCUAUUUCUAGGGCCUGUCCUUCUCUGCUUUCAGCCCAUGGAGGACUGUCCAGGAGGUCUUCUGGGGCCUUACUUGAAAGUAGUGUAUGUCAUUUCUGUCCCCAACCCAUUGGCUAGAGCUCAGUUAUGUAGUCCUACCUAACUGCAAGAGAGACUAGUAAAUGUAACCAGAUUGCCUGUAAGAGGAAAAGGAAAUCGAUAUGAUGAGCACAGAGCAGUUGCCUUGUCAUCAAUAAUUUUGAAUUGGGAUUAAAAAAGAAGGUAUGUGAAAAUACCUUCUUGGUUGGUUUUGAAUGUUAUCAACUACAAGACAAUAGAAGACUAAGUAUGUCCUUUCUAAGGAACUCUAGUUAUAGAUUUCCUAUUAAGGAAGACACUCAAUUUUUUUAAAAUUUUAAAAUUCUAAUUAGUUGUACAUGACAGAAUGCAUUUUGAGCCAUUAGACAUAAAUGGAGUAUAACUGCUCAUUCUUCUGGUUGUACAUGAUGCAGAGUUGCACAGGUCAUGUAGUUAUAUAUGCACAUAGGGUAAUAAUGUCGGGUUCAUUCUACUAUCAUUCCUACCUCCAUACCCCCUCUUCUCUGUUCACUCCCCUCUGUCUAAUACAAAAACAACCUCUAUUCUCCCUCCCCACUUAUUGUGAAUUAGUGAACAGGAUACUCAAUUUUAAAUGUUGUGAAGGGUGUGAGAUGAAUCAGACAUCAUCCUUGCCCUCAGGAAGAAUAAAGUCUUCUAAAGAAGCAGGCUUUCUGCAUGAUUGUUCUCUAGCUGUGUGAUAAGAUGUUCAACUGGAAAUUUCUACCAAGUCAUCUAGCUGUAGUAGAUACAAAAUUCCAAAGUAAUAUACCAGGUCUAUGUGGGAAUUUCCAAAGGAAAAUCAAGAAUAGGUUCUAUAAACUAACCAUUUGUCAGCCACAAAGAGGACAUAAAAGGUUUAUCUCAGCAGAGAAAAGCUGAGGUGGAUGGCCGGGAACACAGGUUGUGAGAAAGAAGCAACCAGCAGGAUUCCAGCUGCUUUCCUUGAGUCAACAAAUUAGAAGAGUGGGAGAGUCUCUGGAGAACCUACAAAAGUGAGAGAGAAAUGAUCAACUUUAUAUAUUGGCUCCACUCUUUUAUGUGUCAAAAAAUAAUGUUCCUGCUGUUGAAGUCAGCUUUGUGUCACUGUGACCAAAAAACCUGCAGAACAAUGUAGAAAAGAAAGUUUAUUUUGGCUCGUGGCUUCAGCGGUUCAGUCCAUGGUCAGCCAACUCCAUAGCUCUGUACCCAAGGUGAGGCAGAGCAUCACGGCAGAAGGGAAUGGCAGGGGAGAAGCCACCAGGAGGCAGAGACAGCUUCUUCCACCAGGGACAAAAUAUAAACCCCAAAGACAGGCCUGGCAGUGACCUCCUUCCUCCAACAACACCCUGUCUGACUACAGUUACCACCCAGUUAAUCCAUAUCAGAGGCUUAAUCCACUGAUUAGGUUAUAUCUCUCCUAAUCUAAUCAUUUCACCUCUGAAAAUUCUUGCACUGUUUCACAAAUGAGCUUUUGGGGGACACCUCAUAUCUAAGUGGUAACGCUGCCCUUCACGGUGAAGGAGGUUGAUCAGAAACAGCAGUGAGUGAGUGAAGGAGGACAGAAGUGAGAGAAAUAAAGGAAACCAGACCCUGUAUUUUGAAGACAGCAGUUUGCCGGCAGGCAGCCUCUGCCUACCAUGGUAAAGAAAUGCUACCUGUGAGUGGUAGUGUUGAUGAAUAUUGGUCUGUGUUUUAAUUUCUGGAUUGAGAUGGUAUUUUGUAACCUACUAUGAACAUGGAACUUUUUCUUAAGAAGGAGUGAUCAGAAAAUCAUGGUUUGAACUAACUUUUCAUGAGGGGCAAAGGAAGAGCUAACCCCUUAGAUUAGGCUCAGAGGGACAGUAACAGAGAAAAUUCAAAGAUCUUUUAUGACAGAGCUGACAGAGUUGAUUUGCUCAUUUACAUUUGAAUUCUUGAGAAGGUGCCCCAGGAGAAGUAUAAAUAAAGUGCUCUGAGAAGUCAAAAGAGUGGACCUGCUUCUAGCUAGACUGGAAGUUUGCAUAAAGAGAAGGGAUUUUUGGAGAGGUAGAUAUACCAGAUACAAAAGAUAAGUGAUUUGGAUGGUCAGAGAUUUGGGAGGUCUUGGGAGAGGGUAGGUGGCCCAUGGAGCACUGUUAAAGGCAUUUCUAGCAGAUCAAACAUCAAGGAGAUUUUUAAAAAAAAGCAUAGCAGAUGCAUAAAGAAGAACAAUUAGUUCCAUUUGACUGAAGCCAAGCAUGGAGCGAUAAUGGAAAAUAAGAUGGAAAGCAUUGGCUUCCAGACUGGGUGAGAGGCUUAAAGCAUGUUUGAAACUCUAGCAUGGGGUCUGCAGAAAAGACAGGUGUCAGGACCCAGGCAGGUAAUCAAAACAAAAGGAGGAGCCUUAGAAUUUGGCUGACCUUCAUGGUAAGUGAACAGUGUCUGCCUUACAGUGUCCCAUGAGGUAUGUGGCAUUAAUUUUACCUAGGUCAGGUUGGUAUCCAAUAGGGCAGGUCUAAUGUGAUAAGUAAGAAGUGAAAAUGAAGAAUUGUAGGUAGUGGGAGGGUAAAUUCAGUUAGCCGUGCUUGUAGGUGGUGUCUCCGCUUUGACUACAUGUGGAAAUUAACUCUAGGCGGGAAAAGCUUCUUUUGAACAGGCGGCUCCAACAUUCUAGGCCUCUGAUAAGUAAUUUGUUUUUUCUAAACUGUUUCUUCAUCUGUGAGGUGGUAAUAAUAAUAAUAUAUAAUAAAACAAUCCACAUCCAGGUCAUCUAGCAAGGCUCCUGGCACAUAUUUGGGGACCAGAAAACAAAUGCCCAAUUCUAAGUGGAGUGCAAUUCAAGGUAUUGUCCCUAUCUCAGCGAAGCCUCCAGAGGAAAAAUCAGAAAGCUGGAGCAGAUGCUAUUUCUGGACUAAGCCCCACUAGGAGUUGGGGGAAGGCUUUAGGUCAGUGGGUGGUAGAUCCCCUAAAGACUGAGUUUAGGACAAAACAUGCCCAGCCUUAUGUUGAGCCUGAGUCUGCGGGCCUGGGCAGGACUGGCUCAGGGACUGGAUGGGGGCUCCAUUAUACAUCACACACCCAUGCUCAGGGAAGCAGAAAUAAAAUGGAUAAUGGGGAGGAGGUCUGUCAACGAAAGGACUUGAAUGUUAUCUCAGUACAGUGGAGGACAGAGCUGGAGCAGGGGACAGACCUCAGACCUCACAAACCCCUGCAGUGAUGAGUGCUGCCAAAGUGACAGGUGGGGGCAGCCCAGAUAGUGAAAAAGCCUGACUCAGCCCAAAGGCAGAAAGGAACGGUGAGAGCCAGAAGAGGGGCUAUGGUCACAGGUCCACGACAAAGCUUUCUGAGCCUGGGUUUCUCCAUCCAUCAAAUGGGGUUCAAGUGAUACCUACCAUAACCACAGAGUGAGCAGUCAAAAAAUGAAAGUAAAUAAGUCUUUCUGCAGUCAGUAUUGAUCUUAUGACAGCAUCACACAGAGACCAUGAUGCUGUAGCCCUUCCAUGCUUCUUCCGUGGUAUACAGCAUCUUUGACUUAGGAUGGUCCACUUUGUGAUUUUUCAACUUUAUAAUGGUACAAGCAAUACUUAUUCAGCACAGAACGUACUUUGUGUUUUGAAUUUGGAUAUUUUCCAGGGCUAGUGACUUGCGGUAUGAUACCCUGCAGUGAUGCUGGGCAGCGGCAGCAAAACAGCUUCCCGUCAACCACCAUUCGCAAGGGGAAAGAGGCAUACUCUACAGUGUGUGUUAUUAAGCUAGGACCUUAGGGUUAGGGGCAUUCAGUGCACCUUCAACUUAACAGUAUUUUCUGUUUACAGUAACAUUUCAGAUGGUGAAAUGUAACACCAUGGUAAAUUGAGCAUCUGUAUUUAGCUUGGACACAAUUUUAAUACAUUUGAUAUUCUGGUUGCACUUCCCAGACACAUGAAGUUGCAAAUAAAGAGGGGGCAUUGGAAUAUGAGAUUCAUGCUGGUGAAUAGACAACAAGCAGGAAUAAAGAGCCCACUACAAGAAGGAGAAAAAAAGUCAACACAGAAAUUAUUUUCCAAAUGACAAUAAUGAGACAGCCAUUCAGUGUAGGGACAAAGAAUAUGCACAUCUUUAUACGUUCUGGGUAUCGCUCCAUAUUUUUGUGAUAUGUUUCUCAAUUUUCCAAACAUAAUGAGUAAUUGAUGUUUACAAGGAUCAUUCUGAGUCAUCAAGAAAUGGAUGAACUGUGUCCAGAAUUUUCUAUUCUAAUAGAGCCAGGGAGGGGAGAGAAAUACAUUGUUGAGUUCUAUUCAAAUUUAUAAAAUUGGGGUUUUCCAAAGAGAUAAGUGUUCAUUAUGUAAAUAUUCAUUUAUCCAAUAUUUCAGUCUUUCAGAGGUUAUAUUAUUAUUAUUUUAGUAAUAGGAAUAUAAAAUAUGAAGACUAUUUUAAGGAGGGGCAGAUAUAUCAAAAUGAACAAUCUAUAUGAACAAUCUAUAAUGAAGACCGCAAAUUUACACUGAUAAUCCAGGCUUUGCUGAAAUAUUUUUGUAAUUGGUAUGAAUAGUCUGUGUAGCCUUUUUUAGUGUGUUUACAAUGAUAUAAAGCAACAGCUUCCUUUCUUUAGAAUCUCACCUAAUUAUUUGCAAAGAAAACUGCCACCACUCAAUAGCAAUAUAUUCUGAGCCUAAUUCUUCCAAGAAGCAGUGACUGAGCAUUAUGUCAAGGCAGGGAGACACUGGCCUUGGAAAUUAGAUCAAGGUAUAGUUAAAUGUCCAUAUUAUUUAAAAGACUUGUUCUUUUCAACUGCUUACCAAAAAAAAAGAAAAAACACUAAUCCUACCUUAAAGGUCUUAAAGGUCAAAAUGUUGGAAACGUUGAAAAGAUUUUUUUGUAAUGCACUAUAAUUUCUGGUGUCCGUGUCCGAAGUGUAAUAUCAAAGGCAACUUGAAUGAUAAUAGCAUCAUUAAAAUAAAAUAAUCCUUUGAAGGGGACAGUGCUCAUUUAGUAUGCAAGUUCAGGCGUAUUUGUUUAAAAGAUUCAUUGCAAUGGAGUGGCAUGUGAGAGAGCACUGACAAUUAUUAAUCCCUUUUCAAAAGUAAAAAUGUCCUCAUCAUCAGACUGCAGACUACCCAGGUCCCUUUGCAGCAAGGUUUUCAUGGCUGUUGUUAGGAUCCCUAGUUCUCUCUGCCCCAGGCAGCAUGCAUUGUGAGGGCUGAAUCCUGCCACGUCCUACUGACUGCAAGUAGGUGUGUUAUUACCAGCUCAAAGCCAGAUGUCUGGGCUUGUAGCAGAGAUCCGUAGGCCCUCAGGAAGGAACUUCCUCAUGGUGAUUCACAGCAGAGAAUGACAUUUUGCAAACAACAUUUUCUUCUGCCACACCUACACUUUCUCUGAAAGAUCACAUAACACUUGAGCAAACCUGCUUUUCUUGAGAUUCCUAGCACCAGUAAGGUGGCCAACAGCCAAAACUUUUUGCCUAGACUUUGUUUUUUAAAUCAUCAUGACGUGAGUUCAUUUUUUGCAUGUAUUUUUAAAAAUAGAGCCAAAUUAUAUUAUUAGAUAAAGUAUCAUAAGCCAUUUAUAACUCUACCAGGGUGUGCUUAGCCUGAACUUAAAAAUAGUAAAGAAGGGAUGUUUCAUUUAGAAGGUUUCAACAUCGUCCUGAAGACUAAGCAUUGGAUAUACUUGUUAAAUCUCCUUUAAAACUGAUGUCAUGACAUUUUAUUCAUUCAUUUUCUGUACAUGUUCUUAAAAAGGGGGUUGAUGUGUCCACUCAUAUUCAGCAGUUCUUUCAAAUACACAAAUGAAUGCCAUUGAGAUUUUUUUAAGUGCAAAAAACAUUGUUUUGCCUUAAAUUAUGGCAGUAAACAACAUAUUUAAAUAUUAUAUAGCUACAAAAAAGAUUUUCAAAUAUAAAAAUAAUAUGUUCUUAAUUCCCAUUUUUAAAAAUAGAAAGGAAUUAAGAAGAAAAAUGCAAGACAACCACUGAUUAUGUAGUGGGAAGGCCAGUCUCAACUCUGGCCAGGCCUGUUUUCUUCUGUACUACUGGUUCAUGUGAUUUUUUUUUUGUUUUUUAAUGUACUUGCCAUUUUUAUGUAAAUAAUCAGACUAUUGUUUUUUUCUAAAGAGUAAAUGUUUUCAUGUUACCAUAAGCUAUUUAGAGAUACAAUGUUAAUGCCUCAUAUAGUUUUUCAUAAAGUGUUUCUUUUUUAAAAUAUUUUUUUAGUUGUUGAUGGAUAUUUAUUAUUUUAUUCAUUUAUUUAUAUGUGGUGCUGAGAAUCGAACCCAGUGCCUCACACAUGCCAGGCAAGUGCUCUACCACUGAGCCACAACCCCAACCCCCAUAAAAUGAAUGUUGCACAAUGGACUUUGCUAAUUUCCUAAGGUCUUAUGUUUACAUUAAAAGCACACGCAUUUCACUGGAUGGCUAUAUAUCACCACCUCCCUGCAUUUGGAAUUAUUCCCUUGAGAUAUAUGUCUAGAAAUGUUCCCAAUCAAAAUGUAAUUACGUUUUUAAGAAUCUUCUCAUAUAUUACAAAUUUGGUGUCCAAAACUUCUAUGUUUUUUUUUUUCAAACUAUUUUACACCCUUGUAUCAAGGGCCUCAGUGUUGUGAAGUUUUAUCCCUUUUUAAGCUCUUAUGUGAGUGACAUCAUGGUCCUAAUUCAAACUGCUUUUCUUAAUAAUGUUGAAUUUUUUUCAUGUCUAAAUUUUUACAAAUAUAAGAAGUAUCUGUUUAUAUCCUUUAUUUAUCUACUUGUGGUCUGAAUGCUUUCUUAAAAUUUAUAUGACCACCAAAUUAAUAAUAUUAAACAUAUACCCUCUUUGUGAGAAUUUUUUCCAAAAUAUUUUGUCUUUUCACUUCAUUUUAAUAAUCUCUAUUAGUUUUUGUACUUUAAAUGACAAAUAAUGAUUAUUGUUAUCACUCCUGAGCUUAGGAAAUUGUCUCCUAUAAAAGUUUAAUAAUAUUUACUUGUAUUUGUCUCACUUAUUGAAUGUUUCUAUUUUUUAAAUAUAUCUACUUGGAAUUUGGUUGUGGUAUAUGACAUGUAAUUAUGAAUUAUUCUUUUACAUUCAGCUAAGCCAAUUCAAAACAAUUCACUUUGUCCUUAUUUUUUUGUGACAUUGCUUUUUUGUAUAUUGAUUUCUCAUAUUUCAUAGAUUUUGUUUGGAAUUACCUAUGCUGUCAUGCUCAUCUGAAUGCCUUUUUGUGUCAGUGCCAAAAUAUUUUAAGUAUUCUGCCUUGAUACUACGUCUUAAUAUUGGUUAAAGUUUGUCUGCUUCGCUCUUAUUCUUUUUCAGUACUUUUUCAAUCGAUUAUGUAGGGUUAAGAACACAGAUCUUGUAGUUCUAAUCUAUUGGAGCUACCAUAGAGGCUCUUCCACUAAUAGACUCCAUGAUCUUGAGCAACUUAAAAGUUUUAACUUGGCCUUAGUUUCUGUAUCUGUAAAGUGCCCAGAUCAUAGGUUUGUUUGAGGAUCAUAUAAGGUCUUGUGUGUAUAAAUUACUACAGAGCAUGUUUGACACACAGUGGGCAGUCAAUGAAUGUUGGCUGUUAAAAUUUGCAAACAGUAAUCGUUUGACUCCUUUUCAAGCUUUCUAUCUCAUUUCUGUGUUGUGAUUUUUUGUUGCAUUGCCCAGAAUUUCUAAAACAAUGUGCAAUGAUAAAUAUAGUGCAAAUUCCAUUCUGGUUAUGGUGGAGCAAAGACAUUCUGUCUCUCUCACUGAACGCAGCUAUAAAACCUAGACAGAAUGCAUGAAACAGCAUUGGGAAAAUGAAAAGUCCUCUGGGAGAGAAGACAAAAAUUCUGACUAUCCCUGAAACGGCAGUCAAUAUAACCUUGUUUGCUUCCUCCAGUGUCUCCCCUCCUGAGCCCAACAAAACUCUUAAUCUAGAUGUGGGCACUGGUGCCAACAGGGACACCCAAAGGAGAAUCAAAGAACAAGAGAGGAUCUCUUCAUAUGCAGAGAGAGCAAUUCUCUCUUUUUCUUUCCACUUCUCUGUAUUCUUGCAUCCAAACCCCUAAAUAGCCUCACAAUGGCCAUAGCAACAAUGGAACUAGCAGGAGUCUAAAACUCAGAUUUUGGAAAAUUUUUCUCUUCAAUCAUAGGAACCAUGCUUCUAAGUCUGGGACAAAUAUCUAUUGGUUUUACUCUAUGUCUUCCUACCACUCAGACUGGGACACAGAGUAGUCCCAAGAAGUAUACCAUAGCAGCAGGAUAAAUAGAGUUUCAGAAUUCUUGGAAAGUCUCAGGGAACCACAAAGUACCAUGGCACAGAGAUAUUGUAUAAAUAAAGGAAUUUGGGAAAGCAACCAUUAAUGUUGUUUAUGAACUCCUGGGCUCUCCUCUAAAACCGUAUGUGUAUGGUGCUGAACCUACGCAGCAUACACCAGUUAUUGAGAACUGAACAAUGGAAAGUAAGUAUGCAUGUCCCACAUUAGAUGUAGAAGGGGGCAUGUGCAGUACAGAUCUAAAUUGCACUGCAAAGACUUUGAAAAUUAAAUUUAUAUUGCAAUCACAAUCCACAGGAGUUUUCUCAGAACAGGCAGCCUUGACCCAAUAACAUGCAGCCUUGACCCAGGUCAAUUGCCUGACAAAGGAAAAAGAUUAUCACUUUCCAUAAAAGUCAAAGAAAGACCAUGGCCUCAUAACCCAGCAUUCAAAACCUGUAGGAUAACAUUCAAAAGUCCUCACCCAAACAAAAGACAAUCAACAAAUAAUAUUACUGUGAUAAUACAGAUUGGAAUUAUUUAGUGAAGAUUUAGAGUAUCUUUUAUAAAAAGAGCCCCAAGCAAGCACAAACUCUGGAAGCAAAUAAGUAAUAGGAAAGUCUCCAAACACUUGAAAAUCUAACUAUUUAUUAAAUCAAAGAGGAUGUCUCAAGAGCAUUUUAAAAUAUUUUAAACUGAAUGAAAAUGAAAAUAACCCCAAAUUUGUGAGAUUCCACUAAAGGAGUGAUUGAAAUUAUAUGCUUAUUUUAGAAAAAGAUAAAAGAUCUCAAAUCAGUAAUCUAAACUUCUGCCUCGAGGAGCUAUAAAAAGAGACAGGUAUGGUGAUGUACACCUAUAAUCCUAGCAACUCAGGAGGCUGAGUCAGGAAGAUUACAAGUUAGAGGCCAGCCUCAGCAACUUAGUGAGACCUUAUCUCAAAAAAUAAAGAACUGGAGACAUAGCUCAGAGGUAAAGUGCUUAUGUGAGAGACCAUUUCUUACUCACUCAAAUGACAACAGCAUUAUUCUACUAUCAAAACCAAAGACAUUACAUUGACAGAAAAUUACAGAGCAAUAGCCUUCAUGAGCACAAAUCUAAGAAUUUGCAAUAAAAUCCUAGCAGAUUCAAUGCAACCAGACAUAAAAAUGGAAUAAUAGAACACAACAAAGUACUUUUUAUCCUGGGAAAGCCAGGCAUAUUCAAUAUUUGAAAAUCACAUUAUUUUACAAUAUAGACAAUCUAUAAAAGAAAAGCCAGAUAAUCACCUACAUAAAUACAGAAAAAUCAUUUGACAAAAUUCAGCAUCUGUUUCUCAUAAAACUCACAACUUAGAAAUAGAAGGCAGCUUCCUCAAACUGACAAAGUAUCUUAAGCAUCCUACAGCAAAGACUCCUAAUGGUGAAAGGCUGCUGACUUUCCCCUAAAAUCAAGAUCAAGGCAAAGAUGGUCACUCCUACUGGUUCUAGUCUGCAUAAUACUGGGAUUAUGCAUAAUACAUAAUACUAGGGCAAGAAAAAGAAAAAAAAAACAUUCCAAUGAAAAAGUAAGGAAUAAAACUUUCCCGCUUCACAGAUGACAUGAUCACAUACACAGAAAAUCACAAAGAAUCUACAAAAUAACUCCUACUACAUGAGUUAAGUAAAGUUACACAAUACAAAGCCAAGACCUGCUCCCCACCAAAAAUCAAUUGUACACUGAAAUGAUAGCAAGUAAAUGUUUUAGUACUAUUUUCAAUAGCUACAAAAAAGAUAAAAUACUUAGGUAUGAAACAUAGACACUGACUACCUCUACUUUCCCCCCCAGCUUCUUUCUUUUACCCAUUUGCUCUGAAAGUCAUUUUUAUCUCUUAUCCACUAGACACUUAAAAUUUAUUUUUCAUUUGAGAUAUUUGUGGUUUUAAAUUUUUACUAAAAAUUUCUACCCCAAUGUUUAAAAUCCCUUCAAAGAAAUCACCUAGUUUAUUUCUCAGAGUAGUUGCCUUAGAGUCAAAAAUGUUCUGUAGAGCCUAAAAGCCAAUCCUGACUCUCUGGCAAUGCUGAGGCAGAGACAAAGCAAUUCAAAGGAAGCCAGAUACACCCCAAACCAAGUCCCCUAGCUAGAACACACCUUCAGAGAGCUUUAGAACACCAUCCCCCAUGAAAUACCUGGAAUUUGAGUUCAUAAACUAGACAGAAAAUCAUCUCAUUUCUAUUAUAAUAAUUUGAAUUUCACUCAGUCAUGAACUGACCCUGUCUCCUUCCAAAAGAACUUUCCUGUGCAAUUCUGCAGCAAGCAGGCAGGAUUAGUGUUCAACAAUAAUGGAAAUUCUCCGAAUUUGAAUGGGAUAUGCUUUGACCCAGAAAUACUGUGUGCUUUUCCAGUGGAUAGCUUCAUUCCCAGAUAAUCUUUGUUAGUUGGAAAGAGUGUGUUAGCAUUGUUCUCUACCCAGAGAUGAUUGCAAUUGGGCAUGGUCAGAUCAUGACUCCUGAGUGGGUAUUUCCACUGAAUUGUAAGUCCAGUCACUGGAUGGAACAGCUGUGAUCUAAUUACAUUCAGCCACUGUUCUUUUGCAAACACAUAUCUCAGGCUUGUCAAACUCGUGAUGUCAAAGAGACAUAGAUAAUAAAAACAAAUUGAAUCGAGUCCCCUAUUUUUGGAUCAUUUAGAAUGAGCCACAUCAACAUGAACAUAUAGUACCAGUUUACAGACUUCCUAUAUGUGUUUAUAAAAUAUUAUUUUUAAUUGACUUAUUAAAAUUUAGAACUAAAUAGCCCAUAAAAACUAUGGGAAUAUAAAUAAUGAUCAGAUUCUUAGGCUUUUUUUUUUUUGGAGGAUAUCUUUAACUCACAAGUUAGCUGAAUCAUGGAAACUUAGCAUUACAUACAUCCUUAUGUCUCUGGGAAAACAAAUUUAAGUUUCAGACACAAAAUAGUAGGCACCCAUCCCUCCAUCCAGGCAGCCAGAGAAAGGACCCUUCUCCAUCUUAGUGGUUUAUCCAGUGGGCAGACUACACAUUUCCUAAGGAUAUUAACAAAAUAGAAACAUUAAGACCUCUUUUUGAAAUAAUUUGAUAUAAGUAUUUUACAUGAGUACUUAUAUUUGAUACUAAACAUUCAAGGCAUUCAUAGUGAAAAUCAGAAUUUGUUGAACUUCCUUAACUAAGCUUAGUGCUACUUUUAUAUUGAAGUGUAUAUAGAAAUCACUAGGGCCCUUGAUUCUCUUCAUCAGGCCCUGGGUCCCCCCCUCUGUCCCCCUCACUUCCUCCUCAGUUCCCACCAAAUUUAACCCCAGCAGUGGAACCUGAAUGGGGAGAGUCAUUUCCUCAGAGGGCUACAAAAGUGUGGAGGGCUACAGCAGAGAUGGGUUUGAUGACAAAGAGUGGCAGGGCCGGGGAAAGUGUUUCCUUGCAGUAUUUCAGGUCCCUGGUAUUUGUCUGGAUUCCAAUGGCAGUAGCAAUAGUUGGGCAUCAGUUGGUUCUUCAUGAGCUCCCAUAGUAGAAAUCGAAGGUCUUGCCUUCCUAAACAUCAUAUAUUUCGUGAACUCCAGGGCAGUGUGAACAUCUCAGAAAGCAGGAGGGUAUGAACUGUUGUGUUAUUGUGUUUUAUAUAAAUGGAGGACAUUCCAUCAUGAGAAAGGUCAUCACUGGGGGAAGACCAAAUGACAGAGUGAAAUUGAAUACAAAUGAUCUUAAAAGGUACAAGGAAUGGGAACCCAAGAGAAGCUGCAUGAGUUCUAAGGAAGAAGCAUGCAUCUUUGUUCAAGAUUGAAGAUUUGAACUAGAAAUUGACAAGGAGAAAAAGUGGAUCCAGAUAUUGUAUUAAAAACCAAGGUUUGAACUGGCGAGUGUUUAGAAGCCAGCCUGUUGAAGAUAAUGUGAUUUGGUUAGAAAAAGUGAGAGAGAGAAUUUAUUAACUAUAUUGAAAUUAAAAUUUGGUGACAAUGAAUAUUCCCCCAUUUCUCAUGGGUUGGAUAGAUUACCUGCCAAACCUGAAAUUUUCCACCUGGACCAAGUAGAACCUAUGUAUACACAUUGGAUCUCUAAUCUAGACAGUUGUGGUCUAAUAGGAAUAUAUUGUAAGCCCACAUGUAAUUAAACUUUUCUAGCAUCAACAUUAAAAAUUACAGAGAAAUAGAUGUGGUUAAUUUCAAUAGUAUAUUUUAUUUAACCUAAUUUCUUAUGGUCUGAGUGUUUGUGUGCCUCAAAUUCCUUGUUUUAAAAUUUAAUUAUCCUUGUGAGUACUGGGAGGUGAUUAGGUCCUGAGGUUAGAGUCCUCAUGAAUGGGAUUAGUGCCCCAGAGAUCUGCCUUGUCCUCUCCGCUAUUUGAGGACCUCUCAAGAGGGUAUUAUCUAUAAACUAGGAAAGAAGCCAUCAUGAGAGACUGAAACUGCACAUUCCUUAAUCUUGGACUUCCCAGUCUCUAGAAGUAUGAGACACAAGUUGUUUAUAAACCAUUCAGUCCGUGGCAUGUUUUUAUAGCAGCCCAAACAGACUAAGACACAUAUACCUAAAGAAGUUCAGCAUGUACCUAUUCUAUAUAAAAAUGUUAAUGGGAUAUUUUCUCCUCUUCCUGCUAAGAUUUCAAAAUUCAAUAUGUAUAUUAUAUUUACAGCGCAGUUCAAUGUAGACAUUAAGGUGUCAUCAGAAAGACUUGAUAUGCAUUUAAAUUUCAGAAAAUUUACGAUUCAAAAAGUUUUUCCAAAUGAACCUAAAAGUUGUUAAAAGGAAAAUUCCUUAGAGUUAAAUUUAAUGGAGUUUAUUUGAGCAAAACAACAAAAUAACAACAACAAAAUGCAACUUGCAAACUGGGCAGCUCCCAGAAUCAGAGCAGGCCUGGGACCUUUAACCAACAACCUGAUCAGAGAGCAUUUUUAGGGAAGUAGAAGUGAGGCAUAUAGGACAAUUUGAUUGGCUACAGCCUUAUCAAUUGGUUACAGCUUAAGUUGUUAGUUCUUUCCUCUUCAUUAAUUGAUUGACUAUAGGGUCUUUUACAACCCAAGGAUACUCAUUUAUUUUUCAUUGGUUGGUUGGUUGGUUGGUCGGUUUGGUUGGUUUGGUUUUUUUUUUUUUGGUUUUUUUUUUGGGUAUUGGGGAUUGAACACAGAGGAGUUUAACCACGGAGCCACAUCCCCAAACCUUUUUAUAUUUUUUAUUUAGAGACAGGGUCUUGCUAAGUUGCUUAGGUCCGCACUAAAUUGCUGAGGCUGGAUUUGAACUCACAAUCCUCCUGCCUCGGCCUCCCAAGCAGCUGGGAUUACAGUUGUGCACCAACAUAUGGGGAACAAAACUCAUCUGUUAUGAUAAAACUCUGUUAGGUCUUUUGUGCCCAGUGCUGAGAUCCAGUCAAAAAUCUAUGGCCUUGUACAAAAUUUUAUUUAACAAAGUUUUCCAGUAAGUGAAUCAUAUAUAGGUUUUCAAAUUUGAGUUUAUAAAUUGAGGGACUUGGUCUAGGUGAUCUCUUCCCGGUCUAACAAUCUGUGGCUAUAUGUUUUCAUAGACUGUAUGACUCAAUUUUCAUAGGCAUGGUCUGCAAAUAGGAAAUGCAGUGUUGAAGUUGUAUCUUGAUAUAGAUAAUAUUGUCUAGAAAGAGGAGAGAGAACAGGAACAAAUGGGGCACAGAGAGGAGCUGGGCAAAGAAUGAAGGCUGUAAAUAUGCGGAGGGCUGUUUUUAUAAAGACAGAAGGACAGAGAAUGACUGUCCACCUUUAACACUAUUGAAAAUCUGAACAGAAUAAGCCAGUGUGGCCUCUUCGGAGGUCAUGUGACUAUAGAAACUGAUACUGAGAAGCAUCACUGUUCUCUCUGUGGGUUUAAUAUCAAAAGUGACUUAAAAAAAAAAAAAAAAACGAGCUCUGUUCUUGUCACUAAAAAGCCAUAAUAUAUAUCAGGAAGAAAAAAGGGAUUUAUUCCCAGUGUCAACGACCAAAACUACAAUAAUCUGCAGCAGGGGAAAAACAUUAAUCCAUAUCAUGUUGAAAUUGUUUCUUAUACCAUUAAAAAAUAGAAGGACAGGGAGGACAAAUAGCAAUGAGCAAUUUACUGGUAGACUCUUUAAGGUUGCAGGGAGCAGGAAGAUAUAGAGCUCCCCUUAGUUGAAGAAAAGUUUAAAGUGGAGAAAUAAGGAGGGAGGUGUCUCCGUAGUUGCAUAGAAGUUGCCUGGAACCGGAAAGCCAUUCAGGAUGCAGCUGUAGUUCUACAAGUGCUCUGCACACCACAGCUGCGGUGAUCUGCUUAUCUUGUCAUCCUUAGGCAGCAGGCGUCAAUUUCUUCUAGCUUCUGCUUAUUUUGCUGCUAUCGUUUACUAAGAAAGUAACCCCACACACACACAAUGUGAACAGUCUUGCUAGCAACCAGGGUUUGAUUGACUCAACCCUGAGAAGGAGCUGCCUUGCUGACAUAUCUGGCCUCAUGCUAUGCUAGCAGCAAGCCUUGAGUAAAGACUCUUGAUAAAAACAACUCUGGCUAGGACCGCAGGACUGUGCGGUACCAAUGGUAUCUUGCCUAGAGAACAGUGGUUUCAUCAGAGGGAAUGCAGACACUCUAGAGAUCAUGGGAUUCUCCACCCAUUUAAGCUCAAGUCUGCAAUCCAGCUGCAUAAAAAUGAAUGCACAUGUUCACUAUCAGCAGUAUUGGACUCAUUUUAGAUCUACGUAAUCUGAAUAGGAAAGUGAGCCCAAAGGGACCCCAGCAAUACAUAAGGUAAAUAAGGGUUUGUGGCUCAGUUGGUAGAGCACUUGCCGAGCACGCGUGAGGCAUUGGGUUUGAUCCCCAGCACCACAUUAAAAAAAAUAAAUAAAUAAGGUAAAUGUAAUUAAAUUGAUAAAAAGUGUUUUUACAUAAAGGAUUUUGAUUUUACUCAUACAUUCAUUCCAAACUUAAAGUGUUUUUUUUUCAAUAGUCAAUGCAGGGCUAAAUUCUCAUUUUACAAGUCAUAAGACACAUCAUUCCUUCAGAAGCCUUCAAUGGAUUAAUAUUGGGGGAAAAAGUCAAAAAAUAUUUACGGGACAUCCUUUGUAGUGCCAAAGGUACAGGGAAAUAAAGGAGAAGAUUCUAAGUGGAAAGCAAUGUAGAGUGAGCCCUACCAAGGGUAGAAAGCAUACACACUUUAAAUUGUAUUUGCAAAUCAUGCAUCUGUUUUGUUCUCCCACUUCCAUGAUGGGUUGCCAACAGGGCAACUAUUGACUUUAUUCUGUGAUUCGUGGAAAUUCCCAAAGAGAAAUCAACAGUAACAAGUGGCUGGCUUUUUAAUGUAAGAAAUUAAGAAAUCCUGGGGUGCAAGGGCCACCAGCUUGAAGCAGGAUGUGUAAUCAGUAACUUUACUGGAUAGAUCGGAAGGAGAUGAUGCGUUUUUAAAAGAUGGCUUUUUAUAGACCUGAACUCAAAAUGGCAGGAUUUGGAGUACAAUGGCAUAUUUAAUAUCUUUGCAACAAUUUCCUAGAGCCCUGCUAUUUUUAGAUGUUUUGUGCUUACUUCUUCUUUAGGUCGUCCUUCCCUGCCUUUUAGGGUCCUUCAAGUUACUCAGGGUAUCUGCUUUCUCUUGUUGGCCCCACCUCCCUCCUUCCUCUCUCACAUUCUUUAUAAUUUAUAUAUCCUGCUUCUCUGUGCCCAGUUUUCCAAUCCUAGACAAUGAGAUAUUUACAGCAGCCAAAUAGUCACAAUGGUUUUGUAAACAGAGAACUUAUUUAAGUUAAUGAUUAUCAUCUUAUUUGGACUUUCAUUAGAGAUCAAAGAAUACUUUGGAAUUUGAUUUAGUAUGAGAUUCAAAUUCUUAGAGGUUCUAUUUUGAAGUUGCAGAGAUAAAAGAAUGAAAGCAAAGUCUUACUCCACAUGAGCUGGUUCUUAUUCCAAGAGUUCUGCAGUUCAUACUUCUUAUAUCUCUGACCUAUCUCCAGCAGUUGCACAAACAGGUCUCGAAUUGCUGGAACAUCAGAAUAACAAUGCAAGCAACUUUGCCAAGGAAAACUCUGGUAUGUUCUUCAUUGUCCAUUUCACUGUGACUUUGAUGCCUUGCUUACUAACACAUCUCAGUGUUGAUUAUGGAGAUUAUUGUCAGAGGCUUAAAUUACAAAAUUAUAAUUGUACACAUCUCUGCAUGUAUACCUCUUACAGGAACUGGUCUAGCAAUUAAUUGCUAUAAAAGAAUCAUAUAUAUAAGGCUUCUAGAAAGACAAAGCCAGAAAAUAAUAAUGUAUAUGCUGAGUAUCCAGCAUAUGAAUUUCUUUGUUUGCCUUUGUAAGACACUUAGCAUCUACCUCUUGAAAGAAGAAAACAGUCUACUUAGAAUAAGGAUCAUCUGUUGUGUAUUGCAUUUGUGACAUUGGGUCAGGAAAGAUAUAUGGUACUGAAGAGUCGCAGAUAAUUCCCCUGAAGAUGUCUUUUAUUUUUAUUAUUUUUUAGCUUCUGUUCAAUAGAAAUUUAUUUCUCUUGUUUUGGAGUUUUGGAGACUGAAAGUCCAAGAUCAGGGUGCCAGUAUAGUGUGGUUCUGCUGAGAGUCCUCUUCUGGGUUUGCUGAUGGUCAGCUUUCUAUUGUGUCCUCCUGAAGGGCAAGGCAGAUCAAUGGAGCCUCUUUUAUACAAGCUCUUUUUAAUUUUAGCACCUUUCAAAGUAUUUGGUAAUCUGAAGCAAAGUCAAAAGCUAUCAUGUUUGGUUAUGUGCUGUUUCUAAGUUAUGCAGUAAUAAAGAGAAAUUCCAAGGACUAGGGAGGUUGCUUGGUGGCAGAGCACUUAGGUAGCAUGCAUAAGGUCCUGGGUUCAAUCCCAGAACUACAUGGGAAAGAAAGGAAGGAAGAGAAAAACAGAGUCCUUAACUGGAUGCAAAAGAUAGGCCACAAUGACCCACAUUUCACCUCCCAAAUGUCUCCCAACCCCAUCUCCCAACAAUGGAGGAGGAAGUCACAAAACAGACAUGUGUCAAAGAGAAAGUUGCCCGGAAAAUACUUGCCUUAUCUAGAGGGAUUUGCAAAUGGUUGACCUCCUCUAGGUCGCAUGCUGUGGUUUGUAAAUCCCAAAGUACCUAAGAACCACUGAGGGAGCAUGUUUUUAAAAAAAAGAUUUGCAAAGAUUCUAAUUCCAAGUAAAAACUCAAAUGACUUGGUGAGGCCUCAGGAUGUGCAGUGUUAGUGACCCUCUCUGUAAUUCUGGAAUGGUCAGGGUAAUAGCUUCUGCUGAUUGAUAAAUGUGGAACAUCUUGCUGUUUCUACCAGUGUUUGCAUUGUAGAGGUCAAUAAGCACCCCUGUUUUCUUUUGGCAGUUUGAAAAUUUGAUGUUUUUAUUGUUGCAAUUCCAUGGGGAUGAAGGAGAGUGAAAAAACGGGUUGUCCUUGUUUCCCUAAAAACAUCUUGUUUUGUAGGAAAAGAAAAACUCUUUAAGGUGAUCUGUAUUGUCAAUUUGUAGAGAACCUCUCCUCACUGAAAGCACCGCUUCUGGAAUUCUUUGAAGGGUGCAGUUUAAUAUGGUUGAGUUUUAGAGAGUAAAUUGUCCAACAGAUGUGCUGUGUCUAAACAGUGAUAAAAUAGCCGUAAUCUCAGAGAUGUGUUGAGCAAAAUCAUUUAGUCAUUUGAAAAAUGAACUUUCUACUCUGUGCCCAGAUCCACAUUUUUGAUUACUUAUCUUAGAAAAUACAAAAUAUAAACUAUUAAACUUAGUACUUCUAUUACCUAAACACUGUUUUUUAAAAUAUAAUGUUUGGGGCUGGGGAUGUAGCUCAGUGGUACAGCACUUGCCUAACAUCUUUAAGGCCCUGGGUUGGAUCUCCAGCACCAUAGUAAGUAAGUAAAUAAACAAACAAACAAACAAACAAAUAAAAUCUUGUUUUAAAUAUAAAUAGUCACUUUUAAACAUAUAAACCCAAAAGAACUAAAAGGUAUUUUUUUCCUUCUGUUUCCUAAAAAUAAGUUUCCUUUGCAUAAAAACCAUAUAUGGAAUAUUUAUCCCUCAAGGAGACAUUUUUCCUUCCUGGUUUUAAAUUUCUAAAACUAUUUUGCAUUCUUAACGACAGCAUUCAUUCCUAUGAAUAGAUUUAACAUUUUUCUUGCACAAAUUUGAACUGAGUUUUAUAGAGCACUUAUGUAGUAUUAUGUGGAAGAAUUGCUACCUCUGAUGCUGAUCUUUUACAUGUAAAUAGAUACAUUUUUUCUGAAACUAAACUGGAAAAAAACUAAAGUUAAAAGUAUUUUCUCAUUUACUUAUAUUUAAUCAUUCUAAGAAAAGAUAUAUACUAUUUUUUAACUGAAUACAUGUUUUUAUUUUUAUAAAACGAUAACUCCUGACCCUCAGACCUUAAUCCAUUUUGGAUAUCUUAAAAUAAUAUGGAAACUUCAUUGAGUUUUCUUAUUUUAUAGACAACAGAUCACCCCAUCUUGUGUGAAGUGAGAGUCUUUGAGUUUCGCAGGCACUCUGCAUAUUGCACAGCAUCUCAUUUCUCAGGGAAUCAUAGUUAAAGUUUUUGCACCUUAUGAAAGUAGGAUAUAACUGAUUUGAUAGAACUGGAAGUUCACAAACGGGUACAUCAACAAUCUUUCCUCAAAAAAAAUUUUUUUAAUGUAAGAAAAUAGAGGCAUCUUGUUUAUAAUCAGAUCCUGAACUUUGUGUACGUACAUAUGAAGUGUGGUAAGAGAAAAUUGUGGGCAAAUCUUUAAUUUUUUAAUACUUUUUUAUUUUUAUUGUUUUGGUACUAGGGAUUGAGCCCAGAAGCCCUUAACCAUGGAGCCACAUCCUCAGCCCUUUUUAUUUUUUAUUUUUAUUUUAUAAAAAAUAAAAAGGGCUCACUAGGUUGUUGAGGCUAGUCUCGAACUUUCCAUCCUCCUGCCUCAGAUUCCCGAGCCAUUGAGAUUACAGGUGUGCACCACCACACCCAGCCAAAUUUUUAUUUUAAAUAGAACUGAAAGAUAAUCUAUAUAUUUUCCUAAAACAUUCAUAAGUAUUUUCAUAGAAGGCAGAAAGGUCUUGUUGACCAACAUAUCCCUAGUUAAGAAGAGCACCAACAUGAAGAGAACAGUCAAAUCUUGCUUUUGUUAUCUGCAGGGAUUGGUCUGGUUCUGGUGCCACUGGGAAUAGCUGGUCAAACAAGGAAGAGCACCUCGGGAAGGAGAGCUUGUUCUGAACCAUCUUUGAGUUUCCCUUGGUUCCCAGGCCUAUCGUUCCCUCCUUCCCUUCUGCUGCAUCGGUUGUCUGGAUCGAGUUCAGGUAGCCGGGUUCUUACUGGCCAGUAAGAACAAAUACAAAAUAUAAGAAAAUACAAAAUAUAAACUAUUAAAUUUAGUACAUCUAUUACCUAAACACUGUUUUUUGGUUUUUUUUUAAAUAUAAAGUUUGGGACUAGGGAUGUAGCUCAGUGGUACAGCACUUCUGCUGCAUCAGUUGGAUGUAAAUCAAAACAAAGUGACUUGAGGGGAGAGAGGUUAAAGACAACAAAAUGGCAAGAGGUGGCUGCACGCAAGGUCCUCCUAGAAGGGUCAUCAAGAAUCUCUCCCCCUCCCUCCAUCCCUAGACUCUGUGUAUCUCUCCAGUGUAUAGCUUCAUUCUCUGUAACUAGAUGACUAGAUAGAGCUGAAGUUUAUAAAGGGUUUAAUUUUUCCAGGAGGGCCACAAUAUUGGGACUAAAGAGGGUUAGUCCUCCCCAGAGGACACGAACCUGAUUGGCAGCCUGGAAAAUUCCAGUUUACAUCUGAAAUGAAAGAGCAUGUUAUCUAAAGUGGCGAGAAAUAAGUGAGCCUUAGGAGUCUGGGAAAAGGAGCUCAGACUCCACUGCAGGGUGGGGCACAGAGGCCAGGGGUGCCCAGAGCUGAGCAGAAGAUUUGUGUCACAAAGAGGGAAGCACAUGUCAGGCACUUGCUGGAAAUAAGAACAAGAAUGUCACACUUCUUGAAUCUGUUGUUUGUUUACUUUUCGUUGCAGAGGGUGGGAGGAAGAGCAUACUAAAGACCAACACUACAUACUGUACUGAAUUUCACAGUAGUUUGGGCAACUCAGAUUGAAGUCCACAUAUUUUAUCUCAUUAACUCUUUUUAAGAACUUCAGAGUUAGCAAUUGUCAUCAUUACCUCUAUAUUAAGGAUAAGGAGACUGAGAAAUCUGCCUAAAGUCACUUGCCCUAGGUGGGGUUAUAAUCUGGGCAGCAGAGGGAUCUCCCUAGAGUUCAUUCUCUGCAUCUAGCAUGUGCAGGACAUGCCACAGGGUUCCAGGACAGAGCUGGAAGGACGUCCCAAAGGUGUCCUGGAGGGUGGACGCCGUGCUAUAAGGAGCUGUGUCACCCAGGUGUGCCCUGUGUGCUUCAGAGGAUUCAGAAGAAUUCAGGUGGAUUAAGUUCUCUCUGGAAAGGUAUCACCACUGUCUUAUCCCAGGAAAUAAUGUCUGCCUUCUUCCGACUCAAAUUCCCCUCUGAAUUGUGCUGAGUGUAACUCUCAAGUUCCUUUGCUAGUUACACUCCUGGCUUUUUGUGUUGCUCUAUCUGAAUCAUAGUCUUUUAAAGCUACACAGACCCAAGGGUAAGAUUUAUACCUAGUCCUCUCAUUUUAUAGUUAGAGAACUAUAAUGGAGUUCCAGAAUGAAUGAGUGGUUUACUCAGUCAUACAACUAGGUAGAGGCAGUGCUAAGACUUGAAUCUAAUCUAACUCCCUAUCCUGUGUUAUUUCCAUACUAACACCAACCAUUUCAGUUUGAUUCUCAAAGAGCUAGGUAGAAGUUCCAUGCUGCUACCAAACUGAUUAAGUUGUGUGACCAUAGGUCAGACCUAACAUUUUAGUUUCCAGUAGUUUUCUUCUUCCCUCCCUUUCUCUUUUUAUCCUCAAGAUUGGUUUGGGUUUUUUGGAGAAGAGCAAUAACAUCUCCUUCCCCCUCUACUCCUCCCCGUUCCUCCCAGCACUUUGUAAGAUCAUGAUUUUUUUUUCUGAUGUUGGUUUAUGUAUUUAAAACUCUGGUUUGAAUGGUCUACAUUUGCUGUAAAUGCCCAGAUUGCAAAUGGUAGUGACGUGCUAUAAAAGAAAAAUGUUCAUAUUGUAGUAAAUAUCCAUGGAUAAAAAAUGAGUGCCCAUUCCCAUCUCCUUUGCUUCUCAUUUACUGGAUAAGUGCUUAGCCUUUUGCAAACCUUUCCAUGCGAAUCAAUAUGUAAAAGAUUUGCUAUGUGUCCAAACUGAAAGUUAAUGAAUUACAAAAAAAUUUUAUUUUGUGCAAUAGCAUUUUAUAUCUUUUUAUGCAUAAACUUCACAGAAAGAGACAAUGCUUUAAGAGUGACAAUGAUCUUUACAAAGCGGAGAUUAUGUUACUUCUGUGAGAUUUCUAAAUCCCCCUCUAUAUCCAGUACAUAAUUCUCUCUCUGGACUAAAUAAGGCAGAACAAAUUAUGCCUUUUUCAUCUAACACUUAAAUAAACUUUACUAUCUUAUACUUUUUAGUCCCUUUAAAAGGGGAGCAGGGUGGGGGGGUGAAGUUUUCUUUGUAAAGAAAGAUUGUAUUGAUUUAUUUUCAAAGCAAUGCUAAAUUUUUUAACAGGAAAAGAAGACUCGAAGGUUGGAUUUUUGUUCUCAUUAAAAACAAACAGCUCCUAGGAAUUGUGGAAUGCUUGCAAAACUCUUUAAUAAUGAAUAAAUAAUUCUCAAAUGACGGAUAUAGAAAAGGAACAAGAUUUCCUCAUUCUGGGUUAAGAAUAAAUUUAAGAACAAUUUUGUAUUUUUUUUUUAAUCUCUGAAUGCCUGCAAGGUAAACUUACUCAGAAGGGCACCUGCUGGGUGCCAAUCCAUGGUUCUCAGGCUUUAGGGCCUAUUCUCAAUUCCUGAACUGUUAGCCCAAGUCAGUUGGCCCUGCCCAAGCCCUUUUAUCCUUUCUACCAUGAAGUCUGGCUGUGGGGCUGUCUGGUUCACUCUGAGGUUGAUUGGCUACAGCUGGUCUUAGAAGCAAAUAUUCCUUCAUACAACACUGAGUUGCAAAUUCCUACCCCCUAGGAUUCACCCACCAGCUGAAACAGCAGCCAGAAAAAGGUUGGUUUAUGCUUUUGAGGGUGGGAACACCACUUGUGGUUAUGUGUGUCUGGAAUCUCAUUCUGUAUUUUCUAGAAACAUUUGACUCUAAACCCUGGAAGUAAUAAAAACACGUACCGCAGUUACGUGGUAUUUCACUUUUUUCAGAAAGUACUGGGAAUUUCCCCUACUUUAUCUAACUGAUUUUUAUUUCACCUUGGUUUUAGGAAUGAAGUAAUUUAAUAAACACACACACACACACACACACACAUACACACACAAUUAGCAGAUGUGGAGAUGGAGUCACUGUGGUUUUAAGUGGCCCAUUAUAAUCACCACAGAGAGCGGAGUGAGUUCCACUGCCCUAUCUAUUAUUCUCAAACUCCUGCCCUCUCCUAGUGACAUCACUGCCUUUUUAUUAAAUGCAUUGUUAUGUAAUUACAGUUGUGGAAGAAUCAGCUGACCUAGGUCUCAAUGCUGGGCCAGUGACUUCUUAGUUAUAUGAUUCAAAGCUCUCCACUUAAAGCCUUUAUUUGUUCCUCUAUUUUUUAAAGCUUAGUUCCUUCUUCCUGGUGUAUUGGCAGAAAUAGGUUAUAAUAUCAUCCACUAAUUGUGUUGGAUGAAGCUAUUUAAAUGAAGUACCUAGAGAAGUCCAGUUCAUAGAGAAUGAAAGUAGAACGGCAAUGGCUACAGAAUAGGGAAAGAGAGAACGGGGAGUUUGUGUUUAAUACAUACAAAGUUUUAGUUUUGCAAGAUGAAAAGAGUUCUGCAGAUGGGUGGUGGUGACAGCAGCACAGCAAUGUCAGUGGACGUGGUACCACUGAACUGUGCAUUGAAAAAGAGUUGCAAUGGUAGUUUUUGCAGUAUGUGUAGUUUAACAUAAUAAUAGAGACGGCACUGAGCACAGCGCCAGGCGACUUUCCUAGUCUUCCUUUUCACCCUUGACAAAUGGCUGAUGGUCACUGACUUGUUCUCUGGGAGCUCUCUGAACUGGGCAACUUGGAUAGAGCCACAGAAGCUAAGUACUGUAUUGGGUUCACUGUUCAGAAAUACAGAUUCAGAGCCUGUCAGAGAUGACAAGCACUCCAAGAAUAUCAUGUCCCACAUAUUCAUGCUGAACACACACAAAAAUGGAGAUCUAGAGAAAUUCAAUGAUUCAACUAAAAUGACACAGCAACUCAGUGACACAGCUGGAAUAAAGACUCAUGAUUUCUAUCUCCUGGUCUAGUUUGCUUCCCAAGAAAUCCUGGAUCUACAUUAUCUCUGAGAAUCAUGUGGGCCACUUUGUGACCUCGAAUUGGGCUGAGGGUUUUCUAUGCUCUGAUUGGAUAACUUCAGAGGCUGGGAUAUAAAAUAUUUCCUUGACAGACAGUACAGACAGUUGUAUUAAAUAGCUUUACUGAGGUAUAAGUGAAUUUUAUUAACUUCACACAUUUGGAUUCUACCAUUUAAUCAGCCUUGGGAUGUGUUUAUCCUUAUGAAACCUUCCCUACAGUCAAGAUGAUGACAUAUGUAUCACCCCUAAAAGUUUCCUUGUGCAAGACAACAAAUACCCAGAUUCAAUCCCUAGUACUGAAAAAAAAAUAAAACAAAGUGAGUGUAGGUCUCUUUCCAGGUUCUCUAUUCUAUUCUAUUGAUCUAUUUGUCUAUCUUUCCGCUAAUUCCACAGUCUUGAUUACCAUCGAUUCAUAGAAAUCACAUAGAGUUAGACUUCCAACUUUGUUCUUUUACAAAGUUAUUUUUGCUAUUCUAGGUCCUCUCCUUUAACAAACUUUUGAGAAUCAUCUUAUCUUUUUUUUUCCCCACAGCCUUCUGGGAUGUUGAUAGGAAUCCACCAAUGUGGAAAAAAGUAACAUCUUAAGUUUUAAUUCUUCCAACCUAAGAACAUUGUCUCUACAUUUUUGAAGUCUUCUAAAACUUUUCUAAGCAAUAUUUUGUGAUCUUUCUCAGUGUAAAUGUAUUGCCCAUCUUUUGUGAAAUUUAACCUAAAGCAUUUCAAAUUUUCAAGGCUCUGUAAAUGGUAUUCUUUUCUUAAUUUUAAUUUCCAAUGGGGAAAAAAACCUUGUUACUUCAAACUUGAAUGCUCUGUUUCCAUAGAGAACAGUAAAACAAUGGUUUCUCUGUUCUAUUUUGGCCCCUAUCUUGCUAAAGAAGUUCCACAAAUGGAUUUUUCCUCUCAGCCUUUCAAACUAAAUGCCAAGAGUCCUAUAAUGAGGCUGAAAAUGUAACCAUAUUGCUCAGAGGGAGCUAAGAGUGCUGUCCUCUUUUGCAAAAGCAGCUGAGUAUAUUACAGACACAAAUUUCUGGGGCUUGUAAGAAUUCUGUCAAGAGCGGGUAAUGGGGAUGAAUUACUCCUGCUAUCAGAACAUCAACUUUUGCACUUCCUGACUUUGGUAUGGUUAAGGUUGAAAUAUUAAAGUGAUAUUCCCCAAAGUGCUUGAAUUUAAUAGCGUUAAUUACCAGAUCCCCCACAAGCCUAUAAAUUCUUUUUUGAAAAUUCCUCUGUACUCCUUAUACUUUCUGGGUGUGCUUCUCUUAAGAGUUCCCUACCUGUAAACUUUUCAAAAAGCAAAAGACCUCGCCUUUGACAUCAAGUUCUCUUUGAGGAGUGAGUGAGCAGCUCUCCCUCCCCAAGAAGCAGCUGUCCUCAGAAGUCUCCUAAGCUAAAUUAAGCUGGGUCUUAUUCCCUUGUGUUCCAUAAAAUUCUAUUCUCUCAGAACCCUGAGGAAACAUGUUCUGGUAAACACCUUCAGCAUAAAAUAUUUUAUAAAAAUCGAACAAGAUCUUUUUUUUAAUUAUUUGCAUUUCAAAAGGGCCAUAACUCUAAUGCAGAGGCAUUUAUGGUUACAAUGGAUUUCAGGCACCAUGGAAGGGAAAGGCAGAGGGGCAAGAAAUCCUGCCAUCCUCUCUAAUCGCAUUGCUAGGAAUGCCUUUUGUAAAAACUGGUGUGACCUUCACCUCUGGCUGUGGAAAGGCUGGAUCCCAACUCCUGAAGUACAUUACUAAUGCACGUAAGACUUUUCUGUCUGUGCCCAACUGUGUAAUAAUGAAUCAUGGAUUUUUUUUUUUAUUUCUCCACAGAGAAAGUUGAGAAGAUUGAACAUGAUCUUCUCAUGAACAAAGUUCACUAAAGAAAGUCCACAUGCAGCUUGAGUUGACCUUGUUAUUAUCCACCCGUUCUUCACCAAGCAAGCUUCUCAGGCACUGGCAUUAUUGGGUGAUAUUUAGUAGCCCCCCCCCCCCACUGUUCAAAGUCUCAACUACCCUCAAUUUAGAGAAUCAUGUUGGGGAGCCGAAAAGGACACCCAUAGAACAAAAGAAAUACAGAUCUAAGCUCAGCUCUACUCAUGUAUGAGGCAUAAUGGUGAGGAAGAGAUAGUAAAAAAUGAUACUAAUCAGAUAGAUCCACUUUAGAAAGGCUUUGUAAACUUAGUGGGUUUUUUUGUUGUUUUGUUGUUGUUGUUUUGUUUGUUUGUUUUGUUUUUUACUUUUGUGACCACAAUAUCUGAUAAGAACAACUUAGGGGAGGGAGAGUUUAUUUGGGGCUAACGGUUUCGGAGGUCUCAGUCUACAGAUGGCCAAGUCCAUUGCUCUGAGCCCAAGGUGAGGCAGCAGCUCAGAGGAAAGCUCAUCAUCUCAUAGUGCAGUCAGGAAGCAGAGAGGGAGAGAGGGAAGGGGCCACGGGGAAGAUGCACCCUUCUAGGGCACACCCCCAGUGACCACCUCCUCCAGCCAUGUCCUGCCUGCCUACAGUUACCACCCCAUCCAUUCAAUCAAAAUGCAAAGGGACUAAUUACCUUACAGCUCAUACUCUAAUCAUUUCAUCUCUGACUAUUCCUACAUUAACAGGACCUUUCAGGAACACCUUGUAUCCAAACCAUAACAGGUGGAGAGCUCAAACUAAGUCAUGAAAAAAAAAAGAGAAAUAUCGUCUAGCAGAGAAACAAGGGUGAUGUGACUCAGGCACCAGGUGGUGCUUUUAAGACACAGGCACAGCAGCACCAGCAGAUGCUGAGCCCUAAAUUGCAAGUAUUUUAAAGUGUCCACAGCCUGAAACUGGCGAAGGAGACAUUUAAUUUGUGUUGACUGCUAUCUCCAAACAUCUUUUCUGCUGAAUCCAGAACAAAUUUGUAACAGGACAAGGACAGGGCAGCCUCUAGAAAUUUCUGGUUUUCCAAAAGCACAAAAAUUACAGUGAGAGACUGGGCCUAUCUAAAAGAAAUUUGACUAAAGCUGUGCUUUGUGUUCACUUUUCUCUCUGAACAUCAUACACUGACAUGGCUUUGGUUCUGAUUUUCCAACAGAAGUUUCCACCUAGGCUGACACCUGCCAUGAGGUACCCUUUGAGGAGGACUUAUUGGCAUCUGACAGGGCCACCAUCCACCCUUUCAUCUCUGCAGCAGAGACAGAGCUGAAGCAGGUCCUUGAGCAGAGCACGCACCUCUCUCCCCCUUGUGUAAGAAGAAAACAGAGUUACCACUGAGUGAUGUGGCCUUCACGGGGUACCUAGGAUCCCCUAGAGGAAGACAGCAUGAUGUCUAUGUUAGUGAUUUAUUGCUACAUAAAAAUGGCAGGUUAAAUAUUUAUUAUAAUAUUUUUGGCAGGAAUCUUAUGAACAGACUAACUGGGUGGUUCAAGCUUAGGGUCUCAGUGAGGUCUCUGUUGUCUAAGGCUGUAGUCACAAUAGACUGAAAGAUCUGCUUCUAAUUUCACUCAUGGCUGUUGGUAAGAUCUGUUCUUGCUGGCUAUUGGUUAAGUAUCUCACUUCUUCUCCAUGUGGAUCUUUCCAUAGGCUAAGCAUCUUCAUGACGUGACAGCUGCUUUCCCCAGGGAAUAUAUUCCAAGAGACAGAGAACAGUAUGGCAACCACAGUCUUUUAUAUCCUAUCUUGGAAAUGACAUGCCAUCACUUCUACUAUAUACCAUUGGUCAUGUAGACCAACCUUGGUGCAAUGUAAGAGGUGAAAUAUUAGGAAGCAAGGAUCAUCGAGGCCCAUCUUGGAGGCUGCCUACGGUAACACCUCUUACCAAAUUGUGCUGACAGCACAGUUGGCUCUGGUCUUUGAUAUACUGCAUGUCGAGGAACAGUUCUUAGCUUAGAAUUACUUAUAACACAGCAGCAAGAUUAAUGGGCCGGGAGUAAAAAAGUUUGGAUUGAGUUCAAUUCUGACAAUUAUGAAUGCAAUGUGACUUUGGAACGCUGUAUUACCUUUUUGGACAUCCAUUAUCUCAUCUGUAAAAUGAGAGUGUUAUUAUAAAUUAUCUCAAAGAUAUCUCUCAGAUUUGAAGUUCAGUGCCACAAAGAAUUAUGCCAUCUCAGGCAUGAAUGUUAUGACGGCAGUUUUGUUUAACAAAAUGAGCAAUUUUCCAAUGAGAUUUGAAAGUAAUAAACCAACUGGAGAAAUGAUACCCUAAAGUUUUCUUAGAACUUAUUUCCUUUCUGUUUAUUAUCCAUCCUUUUCUAGUAAGUGAGCCUCACAAUAACAUAUAUUUUUAUUUGUAUGAUGCUUUAAGGUACAGCACACAGAUUUUAUAUUGACUUCAUCCAUGAGCCUCCUUAGGAAGGUGUCAGACAUGAAAAGCUGUCUGGAUUUAUUCUUCCAUUGCUAGUGACUGAUAUUCACUUGAGUGGCACUUUGGCCAGAAUGCAGCAGUAGCCUUUGCUAAGGAUAUUCCUGGGCAUAUAACCCAAGUAAAUGAGUGAAAAUACCCCUUAAUAUCUAAAAUCUCUAAAAAGACAGCUGAAUGGCCUAGCAUAUUCAGGAUGGACUAGCAAUGAAAUGAACAGUGGAUCUCUUUACCUUGUAGACUAGCCUAGAAUAAGCAGAGGACAGAGAAAAUAUCUUGGGAGAUUUAUCUUCUAAGAUGAAAGUGGGAAAACCAUCUACUUGUUUUUCUCUGAAUUCCUUAGACAUGCCAAACAGGUUCCUACCUCAAGACCUUUGUAUUUGCCUUUAUUUGGGAAUCAUUCAGAUCUGGGUCAGUGAUCACCCCUUCAGAUAGGCCUUCUGCAGUCACGAGUCUUGAGUGGCAUCCUUCCCGCUCUGGUCAUUUUCUACCAUACCAUUUUUUUUUUUUUUUACUAUCUUGGGGCACUUAGCGCUGUGUAAAAUCAUCUUGCUAGCAUAUCUAUUUAAAGUGUCCACCUCCAAUACAGAGUAAGCUGUUAGAGAAGGAACCCCUUCUGUCCUGUUUGCUGCCACAUCCCCAGUGCCUAGAAUAGCUCCCAGUGCAGAUUGGGCACUCAGUAAAUAUUUGUUAAAUGGAUGGAAAGGCUUAUGGUUUGAUGGAAGUGAGUUUAGGGAGAAUUUUGGAGAAGAAUAUUAAAGGGCCUGUUUCCCAUUGAAACAGCAAGGAGGGACUAAAUUUGAGUAUAAAGAGCCUUGGGUAGCCCACAUACUGAAGACAACCCCCAACAGUUGGGAGAAUCCCCUCUGGGAUUCUAGGGGGACAGGUCCUGCUGUCCAAACCAACAGCUAUACCCCAGGAAAACAAAAACAAGAUACAAGGGGUCUCCUGGAACAUUUGCAACCAACAUAGGAAUGCUGUGCUCACUGUAAUAGGUCCUCUCCCCUGGGGACACAAUGGGAAGCUUCCCUUUCUUGAAGCCAAGGGAAGAGUGCCUUCAAGAGAAGGGCAGGAGUGAGUGACUGGUACGUCUUUGGCCAGCAGGAUAUCAACUUAACAGCAGCCCAGCAGUUCAGCUCCCCUUUUGGUUAACGUGGGGAAUAGGAAGUGAAAGAUGGCAACACGAAGCAGAGAUGACCGGCAUGGGUUGGCAAAGAUUGGGGAUAUUCCUGCAUGGAGCACAGGCAGACUGAUGAAAUCUUGAGAGUUCUCCACCGGCAGAUAAAGGGCUCCCCAGUUUAUAAGAAGAUGCACGUGUGUGUGAGUGAGUGUGUAUGAAUGUGUGUGUGAGAGUGAGUAUGUAGAGGUGAGGGGCUACUGCCAAUAGCAGGGGCUCUGUUGGAGUGGAAGAGAGUGACUUAGUCCCUUUGUGAUGCUAUAACAGAAUGCUUGAGAUUAGAAAACUGAUUUUUUUUUUUUUUUUUUAAAUAUUUAUUUAUUUAUUUUUUAGUUUUCAGCAGACACAACAUCUUUGUUUGUAUGUGGUGCUGAGGAUCGAACCCGGGCCGCACGCAUGCCAGGCGAGCGCGCUACCGCUUGAGCCACAUCCCCAGCCCCUAGAAAACUGAUUUUUAAAAAAGGUAUUUCACAUAGUUCCGGAGACUGGGGAGUUCAAGAUGCAGGGGUUUCAUCUGGUGAGGGAUUUCUCUGUGCAUCAUAACAUGGUAGAAGGUCUCACAUGAUAGGAGAAUAAGAGCAUGCAAACCCAGGUCUCUCUUCCUUUUCUGAUAAAGGUAACCACGUGGGGGAUGGGGGGACAUCCUCACACUUCUAGUCCCUAAUGCGUCCAAAGGCAGCACAUUCAAAUGCCAUCUAAAUAGGAAGUGAAGGAUUAAGUUUUCAACAUAUGAACUUUUGGGGGCCACAUUCAAACCAUAGCAUAAAGGAACACAGCCAGACAGACAGUGGGUCGGGCCCUUGAGGGCAUUUCCCUCAUUCCUCUUCACCACCCUAAACCCACAGAAAAGCUAUAUUAGGAGUAAAAGUGGAGGAGAAGGUGUCCAGAAACAGAUCACGUCCUGGAGCCAUGAGUAUAUCUUGAGCUACACCCAAGCAAAGGGAGGAGGAGAUGAGAUGAAGGUGGAUAUGAGUUUAAGCCAUAUAAGUAGACUUAUUAGACUUUACAAAACUGAAAGUGACCCGAAUGUAUACAAUCUAGCUCAGAUGUCAUUGAGGAACAGGAAGAAGCUAGUUGACAGAGCAUGGCUAAAGGCAGUCACGGGAAACCAUAAAUAAAUGAAACCAUUUCAUGUUUUCAAUGCUGAGUUUGAACUCUCAGAUCACCUAGUUUCAGCAGGAAAAAGGCAGACUUUUAGUAAGUAAGUUUGAUUUUUCUUCAAGUGAACUCUUGCUGGUUUUGGACAGAGGGUAAAGUAUCAGAACAAUUUAUUGAAAUCCAAGAUUCAAGACACAGCCUUGGUGCUGGGGGCUCAGGUGUCCUUCUUUCUUUAUACAGUAACUUCCUCUGGCUGGCCCCCAAUUUUAUGAGUCAAGGAAGGAAAAGACUAAAAACUAUUUUUUGAAAAUCAUUUUCCUACAACUUCAAAGGAUCUUUUUUAAACCUUUGGGCAAAUCAUUUAAGUUUUCCAAGGUACUUUGUACCACGACUGAGUGGCUAGAUUUGAAAGGAAACCAGCGCCACUCUUCAUUCCCUCUUUCCUUCACCACGAGGUCACUGGGAAGACCUCUGGACUCUCCCUGCCCUGGUGGACAUCCUGGGAAGGCAUGGGGCUUCUGAGGGCUGGCUUCAGGGGAUUCCUACUGCAGUCUGGGUAAGGACAGCCCCAGUUGGAGCAUAAAUAUUGCAGUUGUUGAUAGCUGAGGAGAAAGCUGUUUUAGAAAGGAACAAAAGUUAAACAUAAAGCUUUAACAGACUCCUUUAUUAAGAAGAAAGUGCAUUUAUUGAAUAAUUUUUUAAAACAGAAAAAAACAAUAUUUUCCUUUAAAACUUAUGCAUGUAUUGACAGUCAGUAGGUUUCUGUCCUGCUUAGGCUUUUCUAAUUUUGGGGCGGGGGGGGGGGGGGGGGGGUUCCUCCUGCAAAUUCCUUUCAUCUUCCUGAGGAAAAGCACUGGACAGAGUAGCACCAACUGAAAGAUAUUGGAAAGGUUUUUGUGGGUGCAUCGGUGUGUGAGUGGGUUCCUUCAGAUGUUUCUCCCCAAUGUGAAACAAGCCAAUGCCCUGUACAUGUCUUUUCAGAAUCUUGUGGAAUUCGAAAACUUUGUCAUGGCAUUUGUGAAGUCCUUUGUAAGUUAGCAGCCCAAAUUUGGAGAGUCUGUCUUUCCUGCAGAUCUCUAACCCGGCAGAACCUAGCCCAAGAUGGAAAGGCGCCCUGGCCCACUCACUUCUGAGCACUGACAUUUUCCACUUUUGCCCAGUGCUGGUUGACAUCUGUGAAGAACUCACUGGGCUUCAUUAUGAAGCUCAUAUUCAUUAACAAACCCCUUUCCUUGCCCCUUCUCCUCCCUCACAUAAAACCAAUACUGCCUGCCACCAUUCAUACCAAGUACAGAGAUGACAAUUCAUCUCCUCUAACAAUUUCUGUCUAUGGGUGGAGGAUGCUGGGGCUACUGUGUUAAGAAGGAUUCCAAAUCAGAACUGGUAAAGGGGAAGGAGCUGGAGCCACAGCAUGUUUGUACUAUGUCUGUCUUCCCUGGUCUGACUUUUGUGGAUGGAUAAAAUAUUGAGAUUCUAGUUCUGACAGAUUCUUCCCUCUAAGAUUGCUGCUCAACUUGAAUCUGGGGGUAUAGAACACAGAAACCUAAAUAUAAUAAAAUUGGAAUUAGAAUUCAUAAUACUAAUAAAAGUCAUGACUAUCAAUUAAAUGCCUACUAAAUGUCAUGAUGUCAUGUAUUUAUAUAAAGACCUACAUGUAAAUUUCCAGUCCUAAAGUUUACUUUUGUUGUUGUUGUUGCUGUUAUUGUUGUUGUUGUUGUUGAGAGGUACUCACCACUGAGCCACAUCCCCAGCCCUUUUUUAAUAUAUAUUUUUUUUAUUUAUAUAUUUUUAUUUACAGACAGGGUCUGGCUAAGUUGCUUAAGGCCUCACUAAGUUUCUGAGGCUGGCUUUAAACUCAUAAUCCUCCUGCCUCAGCCUCCCCAGCCACUGGGAUUAUAGUCAUGCACCCCUGCACCCAGCUCCUAAAGCUUACAUCUAUAUGGGGGAACUAUUAUUUUUCAGAUGAAGAAACAAAUCUCAGUCAAAGUAGUAACUUGACCCAAAACACACAUCUAGUAAGUAGGUAACUGGGACUCAAUGCUGAGUGUGUCUGACUAGCGCCUGGUUUUCUUCCAGAGAAAAUCUUAAACAUAAAUGUGGCAGGAGAGUCCGCUGCACUAAGGAGACCUCCUGUGAAGUGAUGAGGGUGUGAGCAGUGCUCUCCCUACAUGGGCUACACUCAUUUUUUUUUUUAAAGAGCAACAUGACAGACGGAAUAGCUCAUUAUUAAAUAAUUGGGUCCUUUUCUGCAUGACAAAGUGGGAAGGAAACAAAGAACAGCAUGGCCAAUAUAUCAGAGGAUUUCCUGACAUUCGCCUAAAGCAGAAGAACAGGCUGCCCCUGUCUCCUCCAUGCCCUGGGCUCUCCCAAGCCAUGGCCUGACAUUAUCAAUGUUCACACCUGUUAGCCUCAGAGGGUGCCCUGCGUUCCACAGCACCGGCCUCUCAGCUCCUGGAGAAAUCGUUUCACUUCAUUUAAGCAAAGGAAAACCCCCACAGAGUAAAGAGGCCCUUUUCAGCUGGUUCAUCAAGCAGUGCCUCUGAAGGUGGGUUUAAGUCCAUUUUCAGAAGACAGGCUCAUGGUCCAGGUGUUGGCAGGGCAUGGCUCACUCAGGUGUGUCAUUCACAAGAUGCCAGCUGCUGGCAGAGCCUGGAGCUCCCAGCAGGAAGGACCCCUGUUCUGAUGGGGGCUUAACUAACUCUUCAGAGGCAUGAGAUACAGCCACAUUUCCAAGAAUCUUCCACACAUUCGAUUUCUGGGCUGUGCCCAGCAUUAUCUUCAUGUGUCCAUCAUCGUUACAUCACCCAGAGCAUUAAAAGUCAGAGCUAUGGGGCUGCUAGCAAAUACACUGCUGCUUCUCCUCACACUUGGCAUAGAUAGAAAGACCUCCUGUCUUGGUUGUUAAGACCCCAAUGGUUUGGCCCAGGCCAAAGGUACGUCUUCCUGACCCCACAUCCCACCACUCUCAGAUUUAUUCUGUCCAUUCUAGUCUCAAUGGCCUCGUCUGUGCUCUGGUUGGUUAUUUACCAAAUAUGCUCUGCCCCAGGACAUUUGUAUAUGUUUGCUCUUUCUUCCACAUGGAACAUUUUCUUCUAAUAGCUGCAUAUCUCCCUCUACUACCUCAUCACCUAGAGCAUCAGUGUUUUAACUUGUUACAGACACCUUCCCUUAGUCAACUUUCUGUUCCUGCAACAAAUACUUGAGAUAAAUCAACUAAAAAAGAGGAACUGUUUAUUUUAUCUCAUAGUUUUGGAGAUUUCAGGUCAUGACUGAAUAUCCUCCUUGCUUGGGGCAGGGAAGUAAAAAGUGGAAGACACCACAGUCCCAUAAUCCUCUUCAAAGGCACAGCCCCAAAUGACCUGAAUCUUUCAACUAAACCCUCUCUCUCAAAUUCCCACCAUUUGCCAAUAGUGCCAUGCUGGGGAGCAAACCUUUAAUGCAUGGAACUUGGGGGAACAUUCCAGAUCCAAACUGUAGUAUUUCCUAAUCACAAUCUUCCCUAACCACCAAAUAACACUGCCUUCAUUGUUAACACAAUCUUUCUUCCCUGUAUUAAAAAUUCUUGAGGGCUGGGGUUGUGGCUCAGUGGUAAACACUUGCCUAGCAUGUGUGAGGCCCUGGGUUGAUCCCCAGCACCACAUAAAAACUAAAGAAACAAAAUAAAGGUAUUGUGUCCAUCUACAGUUAAAAAUAUUUUUUUAAAAAUUCUCGAUUUAUUAUUGUCUAUGCCAACAGAAAACAAACUCUGAGAAUAUGGAAUUUGUUUUGUUCUGAAUGCCUAGAAGUUUCUCAAAAAAGCAUUCUCUUCAUCUUUUCCAUUACUAUAAUAAAAUACCUGAGACUGGUUAAUUUAUUAUGAAAAUAAAUUUAUUUAUUUAGUUUAUUGUGUAAGAGUCUGGUAAGUCCUGAAACAUGGUGCCAGCAUUAGGUAAGGGCAUUCUUGCUAUAUCAUAAGAAGGCAGAGGACAUUACAUGAUGAGACAGGGCAAGCAUGCUAACUUAAGUCUCUCUUCUUUUUGUUAUUAAAGCCCUAAUGCCAUCAUGGGGUCCUGUUCUCAUAACUUUAUCUAAUUCUAAUUAUUUAUCCAAGGCCCUACUUUCAAAUACCUUAAGCUUCCUGCACGUCAACUGUAGGGGAACAUAUUCAAACCAAGAUGAUGAAUGAAUGAAUAAAAUAUAGACCUGGAAAAGACAGUGGUGUUUAACCAGUAAGUCUGUUUGAUUUUGCUACUUAACCUGCUCUGGCUUCACUGUGUAGUGAUCUGUACAGCCCUUAGGCACCUUAGGUUGCCAGGGCUCUUCCAAAAGUUGCCUCCCUAGACCGAGGUGAAUUCUUCCACUCUUGGUUGCCAUCUUGUUUCUGUGGCAGCCAUACAAGGCCCCACAGACCCCGAGCAACUUAUGGGAAAUAAAGUAUCCUACACUCUCAUAAAACAGUAAGAGCCAACCAACAAACAACCCAGAGAACCUAGCUUCCCUAAGUUACUAUUUUGGAAGAUAACUGAUUAUUAAUAUUCAAAAAGCUUUAAGGGAUUUUUUUUCCCAAAAGCAGGCUAUAUUUAGUAGCAAUAGUUGAAUAUGUUAGGUGAGUGCAUCUCUCUGCUAGCCAUGGAAAAUACAGAUUUUAAUAUAAGCAUGAAGACUAUUCGCUGUGAUUAUCUACAUAUAUCCAUGCUUUAUACAAAACCCAAAUUAAAUGAAGAAUAACAUUUUCUAACACUAGUUUAUUUCUAUACUAAAUACAGCAGUACUGAAAAGUCUUUAUUUUUUGUUCAACAUUUUGUAGCAUUUGCUGCACUGAGCCUGGUGGCCAAGUAGGGGUUUCAGAGCAGAGAAAUAAAUAGACUUAUUCCUGAAAGGAGGAGAGGAAGGUGGGACUCCCAGGGGAACCGAGCCUUUGUAUUUGAUGAAUGAGUCUUUUUCAAGUAUCUCUGUUGUUUGGUUGUUAAAGGAAAUAGAGAUGUUUUCCUCACUGUCCCCAAGUUCAUUGUGUAAAAUUUGCCUUGUUUGGGGACUCCAUUAUUUUCCUGGCUGUGAAAUGUGGAGUGAGAGGGGUUUUCAGGAUGUUCUGUCUGGAGCUCCUCCCAGGGGAGGCCCUUUCUUUGGCAACAUCCUUCCUACAAGAGUCGGGGAUGGGUGCUCAGUAAAUGAGACCAAGUUCCAUGAUAUAUGGAAGACAAAAGCCAUGGUGAGGAGAUAUAAUGUUCAAAAGGACAUCUCCACGUGGACUCUUCUUCACAUUCUUACCACUUCACAUUCUUACCACUCAGGCAACAAAAGAUUUAAGCUAUGCUACCCAUUUUUGUUGAGCUGAUGAGAGUUAGAUAGGUCUAAACAGAUGCACUGUAAAAGUCUUUGUGGAUUCAAAGUUAGAAGCACAUAAAACAGCACUGUUUGUGGCUUCAAGAUAUCCAGUCUCCCCACCCCACCCCCCGAAACUGCCAUCUAAGUAAAGAUACACCAAGUCCCAUGGGUCCUCUGGCUGCGCCAUCUUGAAGGGGCCCCUAGGUAGGCCUGCCUCAUGCAGGACAAUAUUCUGCCCACUAAUUCCUAGUAGGAAAGUUAAGUCCCAACACAGAUUUCCACACACUCUCUUUUCUCUGAAUGGCAGCAGCAAAACUGACUGGGUCUUGCCAACCCAUUUGGGACAGCUGAAAGCUUAGAGUGGUAUGAUCCAUCUGACAAAGAGCAAAUAAGGCACAAAGGGCUUCCUUCACUUGGAAACGUAAGGAUCGGGAUUAUUCUCAGGCAAAUUAGUGUUCAAAUGCGAAUGCUCCAAGUGGAAAGGCUUGUCAUUGGUGUCUCUGUGGAAUCAUCAUCGUCACCUUCCUCAUUUCAGUUUCUCAUGAACUUAUGACACCAAUAUAUGCCUCUAACAAUAGAAGUCAAAAGAAACACUUUGGAAAGAUCUCAAAAAUAGGGAGGUUGGCAUAACAGGAAGGAACUCCGAUCAUCUAUUUAUAAAGACUAUAAUUUUAAAAAAAAAUAAGUGAUCCUAAUAGAGAGUAUUAAAAAUAUUUAAAAUAAAAGGCUAUUUUCCCUACAGUAAUGCAGAUUGACAUCAUAAUUAAAAUCAAAGCACACAGCCAGGAGUUACUGAAGCCAGGAACCGUGGGGAGCAGUUUACCUGCACUAUUUUAAUGUGAGCACCGUGACAUCCUGAGAUUGGUACUGUUAUGCCCAAUUUACCAAGGCAGAAACCAGCUUGGAGAGGGCACAAAUGGCUUGACAGAAAUCAUUCAGCUGGUAUGUGGUGGAAUCAGAAUUUAAACGCCGGACUUUUGGCUACUGUCCUGAGUGUGUAGUUCACAUAGGGCGGUAGAGAAAAGAAAUAAAUUUGGAAUUCUGGGUUUCUAUUGAGGCAGCAACCUUUUGGAAAGGCAUUAAGAGUUUGUUGUAUCUUGCUCUGAAGUGGUGGAAGAGGAGAGAAGAUUGAAAGAAAAUAUUAUCAAAUAAUUGAUUGCUCCCCGGGGGGAACCAUGGUUGUUCCCUCUCACACUACAUCAAGAUAUAUUUUUUUCAUAUCAAAAUCCAUAGACACAGAGUAAAUCAGCAGCUCCAGGAUUCUGAAAGAAGAACACAUUCCAGUCUGUGUAGUGCUUAAGUGCACAGAACCUGGCUCUAAACUCUGGAUUCGGGUCCUGACCCCAGUACACAUGAACUGUGUGACCUUGGGGAAGUGUUAGCCUCUCUGGGCCUCCAUUUUCCAACCUGUAGAAUUGAGAUAAUAGCAGAACAUCCUUCCCUGAGCCACUCUGAGGAUUAAAUGAGUUAAUAUUUUCCAGUGGCUCAUAGUGUACACUCUAUUAAGAUUGGUUAGUUCUAGUGCCUACACUGGAAUAACCUUACUCAAGAACUGAAGGACACAGAUGGCCAAAAAGGUAAGUGUUGUUCAUGACCGCCUGCUAGUCCACAAAUUCAAACUCAAGCACUCCAUGGUUCUUGUUCUCACAAGUGUUGAGGGUCUACUAUGGUUUAGAUCUGAAGUAUCCCCAAAGGUCCAUAUGGUAAAGGCUUGUUCCCCAGAGUGGCAAGGCCUGGGUGAUAGAAGCAUUGAGAGGAUGGGUUAGUGAGAUCCCUUCAGGUCAUCAGGGCUAUGCCUUUGAAGGGGACUGUGGGACCCUGGUCUCUUCUUCUUCGUCCCCUCUUUCACUUCUGGUUUGCCAUAUGCUCCUGCUAUGCUGUGAUGUCUCACCACAGGCCAAAGCGCAAUGGGACCAACUGAUAAUGGACUGAAACCUCCAAAACUAUAAGACAGAAUGAACCUCUUAUCUUUAUGAAUUGGUUAUCUCCAGUAUUUGUGAUGACAGCUAACAAAAUUUAUUUAUUUGCUUUACUUUUUUAAUAAAAAUUAUCUAUUAAAAAUAAUUAUUUUUAUUUUGUUUCUCCCUUUGACCUGACACAUUAAACCUGUGCUUACCUUCCUGCUUGUUCUUAAAUGAACCAUGGAUUUCUUUUUCUUUGUUUUGUACCCAAAAUAGUACAUUUUAAUGAAGUUAAUUAACAAGAUAAUUCACGGAAGCAUAAGUACUCAACAGUUGCCAAGACUAUUUCGAUGAUAUUGUGAUAGUUACAGAAUCCUAAAAGUGGCCCUCUGAGGUGGCUGGCUUCAAUUCACCCUCUAAAAGAUGCUUCCACUUCAUUACAUUGAAAUCUUUUAUAGACUCUCAAAAGUAGAAACUGAUUCUAAAAAUGAAGUUUUCCCUAGAAAAUUCUACAUUUAAAAAGCUUCAUAUACUGCCUGGUCUAUAGGAAAUGCUCAAUAAAUGUCAACCAUAAUAUUAAUAUUCGUGUUAUAUCAUGGGGUGGCCAACACCUUGCCGGGGAACUCUUGCCUACUCUGAGUUAUAAGCCUCCAAAGAACUUAAAGUCUGAAAUAAUUAGUAAAGAACAAAAUACAAAGUCAGAAUUAUAGUUUUAAAGGAUGGAGCAUCUGCUAGACUCAGCCCACACAGGACCUAGAGCCAGACAAUUAUAAAAUGUUUCCCGUGGUUCAUUUAAGGGGGUAUGUCAAAGGCAGGGCUAAGGUUUCAGGGGUGGAGUCUUGCUUCCUGAUGUCUUACAGUCAACAAGUUGAUUGGCAUCUUUGCAGGUUACACCCAUCUCAGAGAGGCUGUGUGACUAGAUCAGGUCACCCCAUCUCUGGUACUGCGUGGGACCUUUUUGAGCAGAGCUGAGGGUGAGUUCACAUGUAUUGGGCGAUCUUACCCUGUGGGAUUGCCCCAGGAAGUUCCCAAUACCAGAUUUUUCCACUCACUGGCUACAAGGCUGAAAACGUCCUCACGUAUAGUUCAUGGAUGGCUCUUGACAGUGGUAGAUUGAGCCAUCCAAACCCUCUACCUCCCAAGCCUGUGACUAUCAAAAAAAAAAAAAAAGAAUAGUCACACUGGUCUUUAAAUGUCCAAAGCACAGAAUUUGAGCUGCCUUUCUUUGACAUAACAACUUUGCCAGUCUGUGUGCCCCUCGGGCAUUUCCAAAUGUCACAGGGGCCUCUCUUGUCCCCUCAGGAAAGCAUGCCUCUGACACUGGCCCUGUUCUCCUCCUGGGGCUCCCCCGGCUUUGGUAGCCUAUCAUGGAAAUAUCCUCCCUUGAGACUGUCUGUUUUCUGUGAGAUCACAGUCAUGUUUAUAGUCACUUGACCUCUGAAGAAGGGACUUGAGGCCUAGCAGGGGCAGGGCCUCACUGUAAUGGAGGCAGCUUUCUGGAAGUUCUGUGGCAGUAGGAUGUGGAGCAGGAACUACUGUUACUCCUUCUGCCUAAUGGGGCUCAGGACCCACAAAUGCAGGCCUUUCCACAUCCAUCUGGCUCUAGGCUUGCUCCUCCCCAGGAGGUCUACCCGGGUAUCUGUACCUGUCAGGGUCCACAGCACACACACCCCAGACCCUGGGGUAGUGGAGGGUGAUCCUCCCACCACCACUGUGUGCACCUGUGCCUGUGCACGCGUGUGCCCACACACAGUUCUAAAGCUGUGCCUUGAAGUGCAUCAUAGAACCUGUUGCAGAAGAGGAUACUUCCAGGAAAUUAAAAAGUGAGUCUGUUUUCCUUCCUGGGGAAACAACAGCCCCCUAUCAAGAGAGAUGGUCUUGCCUCUUGGCCCCCAAAGAAGAAGCUUACAUCAGAAUAUACAUUUAGGGUCACAGUCAGCUCUUCUUAAAAAAUUGAGUUAGGAGGCUGGGUGGUUGAGUGCUCGCCUAGUACCUGUGAGGCAUUGGGUUUAAUCCUCAGCACCACAUAAAAAUAAAAUUAAGAUAUUGUAUCUAUCUAAAACUAAAAAAUAAAUAUUUAAAAAAAUUCAAGUUAGGCAGUCAGCCCACAGGACACCUCAGUCCAGAACAUCCAACUUCAGAUACUGUUUUAGCACAUUUUGUCUUUCCCUUACUUACAUUGCUAUGAUUAAAAAGACCAUUUCAGCCCUGAGGUUGAAUUCAAGUCACUACUCUAAGGAGCUCUAAACUGCUUCUAACUAUAAUUGAUUAAUUUAAUUUAGUCUUUGAAGCUUAGUGUAUGAGCUCAAGGUCUCUCUAUAGAAAAGACAAAUAUGUCAAAUAUGUGCCCACUUCCCAUGUCCCCAACCUUCCCUCUCUGCCUCUGUGUGUGUGUGUGUGUGUGUGUCUGUCUGUCUGUCUGUCUUUCACACAGAGUGAGUAAAUCAGAGAGUGGCAGAGGGCUUAAGUAGCAGGCUCUAAGUUCCAUCCCCAGCACUGUAAACAAGGGGCAGGGAGAAGGCUGCCUGCUGGAUUUGUCGCUCACACCUUGACAAGAAGGGCUUCAGUGGAGUAGAGUACAAGGAUGAAAGCCCACAGGGAGAGGACCUUGGACCUACGGGGUAAAGGGACCUAUGGUGUCAUUCUUAGUGGCGUUUCCUCUGCAGGCUCUGACUAUAAACCAGUAUGGUGAAUCCAUACCAACCCUUAGACCUUCCCAUAAUCCUAGUCCUCUUUAAAGUCGGCAUAACUUUUUUAACAUCUUGUAAUGAAGAUACUGUGGCUAACCGUUAAAACACAUGAAAUACAUAAUUUUGUGACACGUCAGGUGUGAACAUCAUUACUGAAAUUUUAGAAGUAGAAUGGUUAGAUAAAUGAGAACAAGGAUGCUAUUACUCCAAGUCACCAAAUAUGUACUCACUGGUAUAUCAGAUGGGGGGAGGAAUCCUUAAAAGAGUAGGACCCAGGCUUAGUACCCUCUCUCCACCUCCACUCCCUCACCUGCUUGUUGAGGCUCAAGGCUUGUUCACCUUGCAGAGGAAGGAGCUGGCUCUCACAUGCCUCAGAGAAGCUGGCCCAGCUUAGUACAUUGAAAGUGGAGGUGGGAGUCCCCUCUCUGAGGACAGACUGGAAAACCCAGCUGUUGCCCCAUUAUGUGGAGCCAGAGGACAAAGAAAAGACAUAUUUGAGAUGAAGUAUGGAGGAAAAGAAUUGAGAAACAAAGUGUGAAACCAAAAAGGGGCCCAGAGAGGAGUAGAUUAGAAAAGGAGAUAUACAAAGGGGUGCAUUUCUGAGCUCUAGGUUCCUGUUUGUACUGGUCGACUAGGUGCAUUUUCAGGUAUCCAAGGAGGAUGGUUUCCUAUAGUAACAGUACUGGGAGAAAAGGCUCCCACAUGCCAAAUAGGAUCAUCUGAUAGGAUCAGAUUUGUGUUGCUUGGAACUGUGAUUGAUUGCAGUGUAUCCCUCAGAAGGAUAUGCUGGAGUCCUAAAACCUCAUACCCAUGAAUAUGACUCUAUUUAAAAUUAAGGUCUUUGUAGAUAUAAUCAGGUUAAAGUGAGGUCAUACUGGAGUAGGCUGGUCCCUAAUCUAAUAUGAUCAGUAUCCUGAUAAUAAGAAAAACAAAUUGUACAUAGGUUAACACAGAGGGAAGAUGGCCUUGUAAAGAUGAGACAGAGUUUGAUGUUUUGCUAACAUGAGCUAAGAAAGGCUUGGGGCUACCAUGAUCAGGAAUAGGCAGGGAAGGUAUUAUGGUUUAGAUAUGAUAAUGCAAGUUCAAGUGUAAGAUAAUGCAAGAAUUUUCAGAGGUGAAACAAUUAGGUUACAAGAACCACAACCUAAUCAGUGCAUUAAUCCACUUGAAUGGAUUGACUAAGCAGUAACCACAGGCAGGUAGGGCGUGGCUGGAGAAGGUAGGUCACUGGGGGCGUGUCUUUGGGGUAUAUAUUUUGUCCCUAAUGCUCUCUCUCUCUCUCUCUGCUUUCUGGUUGCCAUGUCCCGAGCAGCUUCCCUCCUCCACACCCUUCUGCCAUGAUGGAUGCUUCAUGUCUGGCCCAGAGCAAUGGAGGCAGCUGUCUAUGGACUGAGACCUCUGAAACCAUGAGCCCCAAGUAAAUUUUCCUCCCCCAUAGUUGUUUUGGUCAGGUCUUUUGGUCAUAACUAAAACCGAAAAAUAUUCCCCUAGGAACUUCAGAGGGAGCGUGGCAAUGCCCACGACUUGAUUCCCCACCCCCCAGAACUGUGAGAGAAUCAAUUUCUCUUGUUUGAAGCCACCUGGUAUGUGGUACUUUGUUAAGUAGCCUUAGGAAACUGAUGUAGGAACUGUAGACACUUUCUAACCUGUGAUGUAUAUAAAUCUAUAUAAUAUGUCAUCAUUUUACAAAUGUCUCUGAGGAUGACACUUUUUAAAACUCCCAACCUAGAAAAAAAAACUCACAAUCCAAAUCAAUACCUAUAUUUAUUUUUCUCUCCCAAGUAAUUAAACAAACUUCAAGUGGCAGGUGAGGCCAGCUUCCCUUGGUUUCCAGUGAACAGCAUUGAUAAAUCAGGACCGUUACAUCUCUUAGAAAGCACUCUGUUAAAAAGCAAAUUCUGAGUGUUGUGUUUACUAAAGUGAUACCAUAUGUUGGUUGAUUAACAAGUUGUCAUAAUAUUAGAAGUUCUUGGCUGAUUGCAAGGAGGAGCAUCUGUUUGCUGAAUCCUUUAUCUAAUGUGUGCACAGAUAUUGCUAGGUUUGGCACUUUUCCUAAAUAUCAGAUAUAAAUUCCUGCAGUAUUUAGCCUUCAGAGAGUCACACUGAUGCACUGUUGGAGUUUCGGGUGUUUAUUCUGAGGAAACCAAAUGAAAUAAGGCCAGAUUAAAAAAAAAAAAAAAACAAUAAGUGUACACAUGAGUGUAUUUGUGUCAUUCACAAUUGUUUGGCCACUAUACCUGACAUCUAUGACAACUAAUGUUUAUCUGAAUGUCACCUGCAUAGUAAUUUAUGAAGAAAAAAGAAGAAGAAAGAAAAUUUUCUUUUGGAGUUAUUUAUUGCUUCACUUUGGGUAAAUAUUCAUAAUGCCUUCUACUUAUACAGUGACUUACAUUUAACAAAUGGUUCACAUUAGAUUCUCACAACCUUGGAAAGAAGGCAAGGAAUCCUAUCCCCAUUUUGAGGGCUGGAGGUAGAGCUCAGUUGUAGAACAUGUGCUUAGCAUGCAAUGAGGCCCCAGGUUCAAUACCAAUACUAAAAAAGAAACAAGAAAAUGGAAUCUGCAGCCCAGUGGAGGUGAAUCCAUAUGAUGUGGAUGUGGAACAACCAGAAUAUACAGCCGGGUCUUCUGAGCUCCACCCCUGCCCCUGCUGCAAACCCCAUGAACAGAAGUUCAGGAGCUGGUUGUAGGUGCCAUGAAGGGAUCUAGUCAUGGUGAAAUUCUUGAGUUUUCCUUUGUACUUUUUGGCACCUUCCCCUCCUUUGAUAAUUAGCACAUAUUGGAUUGCACCAUUUUAAUUUCAGCCAGUAGAUCUCUUUCCACUGCUCAUCAAAGUAGACAUGAAAUAAGUUAAGGGGUGGGGGGGAGGCGAACUCUUCUUGUGUCACUUCAGUUCAAAGGUAGACUUAUAUCUCAGUUCCAUCUUCUUUGAAAUUUCUCAGUACCCCUGGUUUUAGAACGAAGUGCCUCUGAUAAUGACGUACAUAUCAUCUUUUUCUUUAGCUUAGACUUUUUGUCCUCAAUUUUUAUGACAUAGCGGAAGGCUUUGUUAUGGAGCAGCCUUUUAAUGUUUCAGAGAAAUGGAGCAUAUUAUGAAAAAUGGGGUAUUUCCUUUUAAGUAUUCCAAAAUUUAGCCCUUCAUUUAAACCAUAAGUCGGGUGUUACAUUUGGGCAUUUCAUCUUAUUCCUUUUUGCUUAAUGUAGUGGUGGGGGGUACUUUUCCUCUACCCUCAAACUCAUGAUGUGUGUGUAUGGGGGGGGUGGAUUAAACUGAUAAAAGACAGAUUAACAAAAGAAAAGGUUUACCUUCACAUGCAUGUAGAAGAACUCUCAGAAAAGAAGUGAAAAACCUCCACAAAGCAGUGAGGACUUGAAGUUUACAUACCAUUUUAACGAAAUGGAAAGAUAAAGGAGUUUGGACUUCUAAGAGCCAUAAAGGAUAGGAGAGUAAAUACAUGGCGGGUGGGUGUAAUAGCAAGGCCCUGGGUUCAAUCCCCAGCACCACUAAAAAAGAAGGGGAAAAAAAGUAAAUAUCUGGAGGAAACAAAUAGAAGAUAAGGGUUGUUUAGUGAGGCUUGUUAUGCAGAGGCAAGUUGGUGGCAUUGCCAUGGUAAGAGUCAUCCCCUCUCCCGGGUCCAAGUGAAGGGAAAAGGACACUUCACAGUGGGAAAUUCAUGACCUUCUUUUAGGCAGAAAGUGGUUGGGCAAAGACUUCUUCCUGUGUCCUCUGUUUCUCGACUGCCUUCAGCUGAAAACAGCCCUUAUACUAAAGGGACAUAUUUUGGGGGCAGAGGGGGGUAUGUUCUGAGGCCCACGACGGUCAGGCCCUUCCCCUUUUUCCAACCAUGUCCUCAAUCUCUCAGUUCCUGGGCCUGCUGCUCUCACUCUAUGCUUCCCUUCUUCUGAACCCAUGUCCCUAUUAGUCUGUCUGUCUAUUACCACUCCUCCUUUCCAACCGCAGCCACCCUUCAACACAAGCCCGAAUCUAUUUCCCUAUUCUAAGGACACCCCAGACCUCCAGCUCCCUCCGGUGGCUGCUUCUAAGAUCCGAGGCUACCCUUGCCCAUCAAUUUGACAAUCUUCCAUUUAGCCCUUGAGAUGUUGAGUGGCAGUUUUCACAGUUAUAUCAAUAUCUGCUGUUGUUAUUUAACUUCUCACAUUUUCUUCUCUUUUAUGUCCUUAGCCUCAAUUCUUCUUCUUUCCCUUGUCCCCUGUUUCCUGGAAUAUUGAUUUCUGAAGUAUGAGCCAAGGAAAAUCUGAACUGAAGCUCCCCCAGAGUUGGGGUUGGAAAGAUAGAUUCCUGGGACUGACUGUGGUUCUGCCAAAUUGACUUCUCAGGUGGUUCUUCUGCACAGUGAAGGUUGGAAUCAUUGACAUAGACCACAUAUAUCUUCACUCAGGUAUUCAGACAACAAGUUGUUGAGCACACAUUAGGUGCCAAUAUAUAUAUACUGGUUCAGGCAGACCUGGUCCCUUAUUUCUCAGAAUUUCUAAUCUGGUUUAGAAAAUAGAUGAUGCACAAGGAUUUAAAGUGUGAUGUGGGCUAUAAGGAAGAGAUGUGAAGAGCCUUAGGAAUAUCUCAGAGGAACUGUUGUCAGGGUCUGGUGUCAAGGAAUACUUCCCUGAGGACCGAGAGUUGAGACCUAAGGGAGAAGUCAGACUUGGCUAGGGAGGGAGGCACAAAAGAGAGACAGAAGAAAUCCCAUAUAUGAAGACUCUGAGGUGGGAAAAAUCAUGGCCUCUAUUUUGGAGGGACAGUAUCUUUGUUCAUGUUCUGUUACUGUAACAAAAUACCAGAAACAAGUAAUUUAUAAAAAAUAGAAGUUUAUUUGACUCAUGAUUCAGGAAGUUGGGAAGUCCAAGAGUAUCAUGCUCAGUAUCUGGUGAGGACCUUCUCGCUGCAUCAUAAAAAAAUGAGGCAGAGAGCAUUAUCUGGUAAGACAGAGCCAUCAUGCUAGUUUGAAUCCCUUCCUUUUUUUAUAGAAUCACUAAUAACAUGUGCAAAAUCCUUAAUUCAAUCCCAGAACUGAAAAGAGUCACUAAUGUCAUCAUGGGUCCCCACUCAUGACUUCAUCUAAUCCUAACUGCCUUUUAAAGGGCCUGCCUCCAAAUAUCAUAAACAUAUAAAUUUGCAGGUUAAGUUCCUAACACAUGAAACUUGGGAACAACUUCAAACUAGAAAACAGUUUUCUGAGGGAGAGAAGAUGGCUUUGUCCACAAUGGUAGCAGUAGGAUGGAUUCAAACAGUACUUGGGAGAUAGAUUAUAUGGCAUUUAAUUAAUAAUUGCAUCCAAGAGUGAGAGGAAAGGAAAUGUCAGAGAAGUCUUUGACUCUUCUUUUGAUAAUAAUCGGUAGAACCAUACAACACUGAAAGAGGAUCAGGUUGUCAAGACAAAAUUACAAGCUCAAUUCCGGGCGCAAAGAUUUUGAAGCACCUAUGAAACGUUCAGUAUGUCAUGUCAUGUACUUUUUCCUAUUUGCAAUGAAGAGUGGAAUUUAAGUGGGCUCUGAGAGAAUUGUGGAGUUUAGAUCAGAACCAGUGGAGAUCCAGUGAGAGGAUCCCAAUAUGCUCAUCUAGUGUUGCAGUCAGCUUUUCCACUGCUGUGCCCAGAAUACCUGAUAAGAACAGUUAGAGGAGGAAAAGUGUACUGGGGGAUUCAUGGUUUCAGGGGUCUCACUCCAUAGACAUCUGCUCCAUUCCCUGGGGCUUGAGGUGAGGCAGAACAUCAUGGCAGAAGAGUGUGGAGGAGGGGAGCCGCUCAAGACAUGGUGAUCAGAAAGCAGAAAGAGAGACUCCAUUCACCAGAUACAAAAUAUACACCCAAAGGCACACCCCCAGUGACCCACCUCUUCUAGCCACACCCUACCUGCCUUCAGCUACCACUCGGUUAAUCCCUGUUAGGGGAUUAAUUCACCGAUUCAUAACCCAAUUACUUCACCCCUAAGCUUUUUUGCACUGUGUUACAUGUGAGCUUUUGGGGACACCUCACAUCCAAACUAUAACAUCCAUCCAAGGGUGUCUUGAUGCUGAGUUCACAGUUCUUUUUUAAUCUGUUUUCAAAAGUGACUGCUCUCCGGGGAGAUUAUAACGGCCUUGUUUGUUUUCAUUUUCUCUAGUUUAGGAAAUAGGUUAGGCUCUUUGCAUGUAUUUACGGGGGUUCUUUUGGUUGUUCGUAGGCUUGGUGUAAGUAGACGUGUUCUUUAAUCUGUAAACACAACCAGCAUUUUUGAAAACAAAUUCAUCACUUAGGAAUGAUCCCAGAUAUACCCUCAUAGAUAGGACAGAACAUCCGUGUAGAGAACAGGUUAAAAACAAGAACAUUACAUUUUGUACUAAAAUUGUAGUGCUGCUGGUAGAAAUUCUUGUCUGGUGAGGGAUUUUGGGAGUCUGUUUGCAAAGGCGAGUUGGGUCUUUGAUGAAAAUUCUCUCUAAUUAUGCAAGGGUUUACAUUUCACAGGACUAUUCAAUUAUUGCCUAAUUUCUGAAAGAGAAGAUCACAGAAAUUCUCCUUAUUCUCCUCUUCCUCUGAUUUUUCUUUCUCCCUUUUCUAUUCAUCAUCUGCUUCCAAUUCAUCUUCAGAAAAGAGAAUAAUGAAUUUUUUAAAAAAAAAAGAAAUGGGGCUGAAUUACUCUCUGUGUCUUAAAGAUAAUUCCCCAACAUCGUUAUUCUCUACAUUUUGAAAAUUAUGUAAAAGGCUUUCUAACAGCACAAAUGAUAGAAUGUGAAAGUAGGUUCUUUGAUUCUUCUCAUACACUCCGGUAUGAAACACCCCUCUGCAAAAUUCCCAAGAAAUGUUCAACUAGCCUGUACUUGGUUAUUCUUAGCAGCAGGGAGCUCCCUCUCUAUUUGAGGAAUAAACCAACUUUUUUUUUUUACUAAAUCAAAUUAUACAGAAUAUCUUUCUAUAAUGAAUGAAAAUGAGCUUUCUCGCUGACACUGGUUCUGCUCCCCACAGCAACACAGAAUAAAUCUGUUCCGUAUUCUACAUGACAAGCUUUCAAAUAUACUGAGACAACGGCCCUGUCUCCUCAAGCUUUCUCCUCUGCAAACUAAAUAUCCCCACGUCCCUCAAUAUAUUUCUUAUGAGAUAGUAAGACUCAGUUUCUGCCUUCUCCACCAUCUUUAUAGAAAUUUGUCCCCUCUCAGCCCUCUCAACUCAAAGUUACCCCUAAGUGACAUCCACUCUCUGACUAGCAACAUGCACAGAGACACAGACACCUCUUAGUUAUUCUUGGGUUUAUUUUGGUGAUGGACACUUCAGUUUUCAACAGGGGACAGUGCGUGGAGUCUUAAGGAUAGAUGUUGUUUUUAAAGCUCUGACAAAUUUUCAGGCAGUUGGGAUAUUUAAUUACGGUUUAAAACCCAGGUGGUUUUUCACUUGUGGAACUUGAAAUUUGCCAAAUCCCAGUGGAAUUACUAGGUCAUAAAUGGUGAGGGGAAUUACAUUCCAUUAGAGUGUGGAUAAAAUUGGAAGAUAGUCCUCUUUUCUAGUUUUUAUGUGGCCGUUGUACCUUCGUCUGCUUUUAGGAACAGCUGUUAUAACAGAUGUUCAUUUUAGAUGGUAUCAUUCUUUAUUUAUUUAUUUUAGUAUACCUCACAGAAUCCUCUCCAUGAAGAGAUGUUUUUGAAAGCCCAGAACUAUUUUUCUAAUGCAAAUAAGUUACCUAGCACUUUCGGUAGUUCACCUCCACUGUCUAAGCCCCUGCCAAGACAGUCAGUUACACAUGUAGGGGUCUCCCAUAAAACCACACCCAUCUUCACCUCAAGAUACUCAGGCACCAAUGGCUGUCCAGUGAAGGCUUCCAGAUAGCUGGCAGAGGUCACUAGCCAACAGAGUAGUGCUUGGCCCCAUCAAUCAGAGUACAAGACUCAAAACCAGGAACUUAGGAUUGUUGUUUUUCCUACUUAUCUUCACUGGUACAAUUUUAUCUUGCCACUGUAGAUACUCAUUAAAGCCAGAGGAAAUCAGAGGCAGGCUAUUGAACCCUGCUCCUGGCUAGUACUGGGACAAAAAAAAAAAAACUAUUAGGAUCUCAUUACCCAUAGGAGAUAAUAUCAAGAUGCAUAAUAUUUACAAUGCUACUCUCUGAAAAAGGAAAUGGAUGUAUAGGCUAAACUAAUCUUUCAAACACUGUUGUAAAAACUUGACUGGAAAGAAAGAGGAUCCUCAAGAUGAGGCUCCUCGUGUUGAUUUCUGGUCUCCACUAAUGCAUGAUCAUAAAGAGGCAUUCCUUGCUGAGGAGUGAAAUCUUGGGAUCACCAUUUACCCAGUUGGCACUUUGAUGGAGGUCUUCAUAUUUCUGUGUUGGACUUGGUAAAACCAUGGGCAAUCCUACUUCCCAGGUGAUAUUGAUGCCCCAAUAAGAUAUGCUUAUGUGUUAACCCUGCAGGAUAAGGGAUCUAGCUGAAGUAGUUACAAGUACCUGUCCAAAAAUAUCAUUCUGUAGUCCAGAAUCCCCUUCAAGACAUUCUCUUCUACAUUCUCUUUCUGAGUCCUGAAGCUCUUUCUUUAUUGCAACUAUUAUUUUGUUAGUUUUCAUUUAUUUUAAUAAGUCAUCUCUGUUUAAAAAGUCAUCUGUCAGCUUUUUGCUACUGUAACACAUACUUGAGAAAAUCAAUUUAAAAAGAAGAAAUGUUUAUUUUGACUCACAGUUCCAGAGGUUCCUGUCCGCAUGGUUGAUUAGCCCCGUCCUCUUGGGGACUAUGGUGAGGCAACCCAUCAUGGUGGGAGCACAUGACAAGGGAAGCUGCUCACCUCAUGACAGCCAGGAAACCAAAGAAAAAAGAGGAGGGUAUUGGCCCCACUAUUCUCUUCAAGGGCAUAUCCCAAUGACCUAACUUCCUUCCACCAUUCUUCACCUCCUAAAGGUCCACCACUCUCCAGUAACAUGACAGGCUGGUGACCAGUCCUUUUACAUCUGGGUCUUGGGGGGACACAUCCAAACCAUAACAUCCUCCAUACAUGUGCUUUUAAAAUCAGACAAAAUCCUACUCCUGUUCCCUGGUUUACCAGACUUAAAAGAUGAAUGCCUUUUGACCCUCCAUUUGAAAAGUGAAGAAAUUGACCUAUCUAUCAAAAUUUAUCAUAUCUUCCCCUUGAUUUCCUAAUGCUUGUUAGCAAAGUUGUUUUUAAAUGGGCCUUGUUCAUAAAAUUUAAGUUCUGAAGUCUUCAUUCCUAUCCAUUACCUUAGGUUUAGUUUUAGCCCCAGAUAUGUUCAGUCCUCAAGGUAGCCCUUAGCCUACUUUUUCAAUUGUUUCUUGCAUGGUUCUUCCAAUAUUUCCUCAAAAGGGCUCACAGAUCUCACAGAUACUAUUUUCCUGAGCUCUUAAGUUUGGAAAUCCUUUGCCUUUUUACCUGGAUGACUGUGUUGAGUCCAAUAUUCUCGAGUCUCACUUUAUAUCUCUGAAACUUUUGUACCUAUUAUCCACGACCCUCCAGAACUGACUUUUCCCCCUGGUACCAUCUGAUCCAUGUCUGUCUUUUCUUAGCCUCUAUUUAUUCAUCAUAUAGAAUUCAGUCCUUCUUUGCACUAAAGCUUCUUAAAUUUAUCUUUGGAGAUGAUUUCUCUUUUAUUGGCUUGGAUUUUUACAGAGAUACUUAUUAUUUAAAAGUUGGAUCUCCUUGGUUUUUCCUCACCUAUUAUCCAUUUUCCACUAUUUUUUCAGUUCAUUUUACUCAGUUUCUUCAACUGCACACUCUACAAUUUGGACUCUGUGCUCAGCACUGCCUGGUCUUCCCUACCCCUCUUUCCAUGAUGCCUCUUUCCUAACAGGACUCUAUUUAUGUGCCUUCAGACUUUCCUCACAGCCCUGGUCUGCCAGCCUGGCCAUUCUCCUUAGGAUUUGCUCAUAAACAAUUUCUAGAAAACUGAUUGUGGAUCCAAUCUUUUACUCUAUUUUUCCUAACCCAAUCCUUCUUUCUUGCUUGACAUCAUGAGUUCACUAAGCUCCUCUCUCUCACUCUUUUCUCUUUUAUACUUACUCACAUAAUCUUUGUGGCUGACUGAGUGAACAGUAAUUAAGGUCCCCAUGAGUUCUCCUUCUUCCUGACUCUCAGACAUCUAUUUCCUCUCUCAGUCGGUAGAGUUCAGCUUCUAAAAACUGUCGCUGGUCUAUUCUUCUCAAUCCCCCUUCAUUAAUUAAUAUGCUCUGUGCCUUAAAAAUAUUUCUACCUAGUUUUGAGGCAUUAGAACUCUCAACAAAGAAAAAAAAAUUAGUACCCUUGGGAGUUCAGGGGUAAAUCCUGAGGGAAAUGACCUCAAUUUCUUUAAGUCCAGCACUUUAAUCUUAAAAAAUAAGGCAGUAUUUCUAUUCAGCUCCAUGAUAGCCACAUUUAUUUUGAAUACAUUUGUUUAAAUGCUUUAAAUAACUUAGCUAUUAAAUUACUUAAUUCCCCCGCCCCACUACUAAUAUUUGAGUAAAAUUGAAGCCAUAUAGAGAUAAGAUUUAAUAAUAAUGAGGUUUCAAGUUCUUUCUAGCAGACCACUAGAGAUUCUCAGUGGUGUGAAGAUCACAGCCAUGAAUAUAUUGCAUGUUAAAAAGGGCCCCUUAUUCGAAUCUUUGAAUCUCUGGCCUCUGGUAUAUUACCAGGUGCACACUUGGUGUUCAGUAAUCAUUUGUGAAACUGACUGCAAGUAAACUUGCAAGUUUCUUCUUAGAUACAUUCAAUAGGCUGCUGCCCACCAGGGCUUAUUCUUGGGGCUGUUCUAUCUGAAAUGAAAUUGUUUCUUGCAUUAAAAGAAAGGUGGAGGUUGGGCAUUAAAUGUAGUCAUUCCCUUUGUAUCCAUAGGGGGCUGGUUCCAGGACUCCCCAUUGAUACUAAAAUUCAUAGAUGCUUAAGUCCCUUUUAUUAUCUAUGCAUACACUCCCCUAAUCAUCUCUAGAUUAAUUAUAAUACCAAAUACAAUGUAAAUGCUAUGUAAAUUGUUGUUAUACAUUGGUUAGGGAAGAAUGACCAGGGAGGAAAAAAGUGUGUAUGUAUUAAAAAGAUGAAAUUCUUCCAAUUCUUUUUAACUGACAGUUGAUUGAAUUUCAUGAUAUAGAACCCACUGAUAUAGAAGGCUGCUAAUAACAUGUGCCUAUAUUUUGAUUGUUGGGAGUCAGCCACUGAUUUCAGCAUUUUCUGGAUAUUCUUUCCAGACUUGAGAUUGAACACUGCCCUUGAGUCUAGUCUCCAAGGGCUUGUUGUUUGACCAGCCAAGGCUUUAAUUCCCUCACCUGUAACCUGAGAAUGGUAACUACCUCAUUGGUUUGUUAAGAACAAUAAAUGAUGCUACCAUGAAAUUAGUUCAUUUGCCACCUGAUACAAAGCAUGCACUCCUCAAAUGGUGGCUGUCACUACUACCAAGUGAUUAGCUGAAGGGGUAGAUUUUGUCAUAUGUCCUGGGAAAGUCCAGAGUUAUCUAGGAAUUCCAGGAUUGGAAGGAGCCAUCCAGUAUAACACGUAGAAGGGAUAGAGAGAUCAUAGGAAUGGGCCCACACCAUUUUGUUUAAAAAAAAUACUUGGAAAAAUGUGACCCAGAGACUAAGAAAGCAGUUCUAAACGAUAAUCAAUGGUGUUGAUAUAACAGUCCAUCAUUCCGAUCAUUAAUACAAUAACUUAAAAUACUUUCAUUCCUCAUUCUCACCAUGUAUACAUGUACAUACACUGUUAGCCACGUAAGGGACAAAAAGUAAUACUUUCUCCUCAUUUACCACAAGGGUCAUGACUGCUACCCUGUAACAAAAGGCAGAUUAAUAAGAGAAAAGCACCACAAUUUUUUUUUAACUAAAGUUUUACAUGACAUGAGAAGGCUUCAGAAAUGAAGACCCAAAGACCCCUAGAAAACUGUGCUUUUAUGCUUAGGCUUGAUGAAGAAUUAGAAAUCAGGUGGAAAUAAUGAUUAGACCAAAUGGGUCUAAUGGAUUUAAUGGUGAUAAACAGGGAUGGCCAAGGGGGACUAGCAGGGCCUGUUUGUUCAGAUUCUUCUUUGCCUCUCUUUGUAGGAUUCCUUUCAUCUGGAUACAGGGCAAGACACCACCUGUCAUAGGAGGGUCUUUUGACCUCAGGAGAGGUAGAUCAAAGAAUCCUUUAUGGCCACCUCUCUCACACAAGUGGGGUGGUCAGGAAGAGACCUCCAGAAUCCCAGGCAUGGUAACAUGGCAUGUGAUAGAAGCCGUAAAAUAGCAAGCAGGACAGGUUUUGCCUCCAGAGCCCAUGCCAGAGCCAGUUCUCAUCCUUAUUUCUAAUGCCCUAAUUUCUCUGAACAGCUUGGUGGCAUGGAGACUGAGGCUGAGCUUCCC
rnacentral:lncRNA from 1 species